AGAUCUUUAAUUUGAAUAAUGUCCGAAAAAAAUUAUUAAGAUUAAGUUUGAAAAUAAAAAUGAUAACAUUUUUAAAGAUCAGAUAAGUUUUACGGCGUAAAUCCUUGAUUCCAAAUAAUAAAAUUUUUGGAUAGACAAUAAAAAUCUGGACCAUCUCAUCAUUUCUGUUUUUUCCAUUAAAAAAUGAAAAUUCUAUUAUUCGAUUGGAGUCCACCACCAAUACCUAGAUCUUGAAUUGUGGAUAUGAAAAAAAAUUUGGUAAUAUAAAGACUCAAUUCUUACUACAAAAAAAUUUCCUAAGUUUUGUAAUGCUUACUCUAAAACUAUUUGUUUACACGAUAGUGGUAUUCUAUCUGACAGGUGAUGAGUCAUUUAUUGACUAUUUUAAUAUGCUUUUUAGUUUAGUUUUAUUUAGAUUUUAUUUGAUUUUAUAUUAGUAUUAUUUCCUUUUUAGGAUAGUUUACUUUAAAUUGCAUUUUAUUAUAUUUCAGGAAUGAAUAUUGGAUGGAUUGAGUCUUGGAGCAAAAGAAAGGGACUUGGAGCCGAUUGGAUGCAAAAUAUGAAGAUUGAGAGACAAAAAUAUGUCUCCCCCAAGUCAGAAGCUUGGCACGGCCGUGCCACCCUCCAGAGUCACUUUUGCUGCUUUUGCUUAGAUUUUAAGCUACUCUAUUUUUAGCCCGAAUGUAAUAGCUUAGAUUUUAAGUCGAACAAAUGCUAUAAAUAGAGUAGCCAUCCAUCACAAAUAUUCAUCUUUACUUGGAAUACAAUAAGUGACAAUUGCUUUUCUAAUUAAAGUUCUUUUCUUUUCCCUUUAUUUUCAUGUCAUUUACCUUUAUGCUUUCUCUCUUCUCCCCCAUGUCUAUGAUGAACAUGAGUGAGUAGACUUCUCCUUGUCUUGGGAUUGUUGGAUAAGUCUAAAUGACAUAAUCCUAAUCAAACCAAGCUCUAAGCCUUAAUCUUAUGUAACCCAAAUUUCUUAUCUGAAUUCACCGCUUUAACAUGGAUCAACCAUUAUCAAACUGUGGAAACGAAAGUGAAGGGUUUGAUAAUUGUUUAUCCAUUAUUCCAAAUAUCAAUUCAUAAAAGGAAAGUGGAGCUUUGAUAUUCGAACAAGUGAAUUCAGACAAGGAUUGCAAAGUCAGCGAAAUAGGCUUUGCAAUCUUUGAGACAUAUAGUUUCGAUCUUCAAGGGAACUAAUAACAAUCAAGUCAGCGAAAUAGGCUUGGUUGUUAGAGGAACCAAAAUCUAAUAGUAAUCAAGUCAGCGAAAUAGGCUUGGUUGCUAGAGGAACAUAAGAGAAACUGUCUUGAGAAAUUAGGUCUAACAUAACAUUAUAAGCUUAUAGUUUUGGUUUGAGAAGGACUUGCUAUUUAGAUGAAACCAACGAUCCCAAGGCUCUUUUUAUACUAUUAACUUUCAACGCUUGAAAACCCCCAACUUAUAAUUCUUUUCUCUUCUAAUCAUCUCUAAAGGUUAAUUGAAUUGAACUACUCCAUGUCGGAACGAUACUCUUUUUACUACUUCGAUAGAACCGUGCACUUGCGGUUUUAUCUCAUCAAGUUUUUGGCGCCGCUUCCGGGGAGUAAACUAAUUUGAUUAACUCUUUCUUUGUGAUUAGAACUCUUUUCUUUUCCUCUUCUCUUCUAUUUUUCUUUCUUUUUAUUACCAAUUAACUUCUUGGGUUCUCAAUUUCUUAUGCGAAGAAGUAAAAGUCUCGGAGAAUUUAUUCCGGAGAUCGAAAGAGUAUGCUACUCCUUCAAUGGAAGAGCCACAAGCUAUUAUCGUGUACCCAACGGUUGAGGGUAAUAACUUCGAGAUCAAGCCUGCACUACUCCAUUUAGUGCAGCAAAAUCAGUUUUCUGGAUCACCCACUGAGGAUCCAAAUCUCCAUAUUUCUUCCUUCCUUAGACUCAGCGGCACCAUAAAAGAGAACCAAGAAGCCUUAAGACUCCAUCUCUUUCCCUUCUCCUUAAGGGAUAGAGCUAGCGCUUGGUUCCAUUCCCUAGAAGUCGGUUCCAUCACUUCAUGGGACGAUAUGAGGCGAGCACUCCUUGCCCGAUUUUUCCCCCCAUCUAAAACCGCUAAACUUAGAGAUCAAAUCAUGCGGUUCAAUCAAAAAGAUGGGGAGUCUCUCUAUGAGGCGUGGGAGCGUUUCAAGGAAAUGCUUAGACUUUGUCCCCACCAUGGCCUAGAGAAAGUGGCUUAUAGUCCACACGUUUUAUAAUGGCUUGUCAUAUACCACUAAGAUGUCUGUUGAUGCAGCUGCAUGAGGAGCUCUAAUGAACAAGAACUAUACAGAGGCUUAUGCCCUGAUUGAAGACAUGGCUCAAAAUCAUUACCAAUGGACCAACGAGAGAGCCGUCACCGCUCCUACUCCCUCUAAGAAAGAGGCAGGUAUAUACGAAGUCUCUGAAUAUAACCACCUUGCUGCUAAGGUUGAGGCAUUAACCCAAAAAUUUGAAAAACUUAAUGUUAAUGUUGUCGCACCUUCUUCUGCAUCCCCUCCUUGUGAAAUCUGUGGUAUAUCCGGUCAUAUCGGUGUUGAUUGUCAAAUAGGUAGUGCUGCCAAUACUGAGCAACUGAAUUACGCUCAAUAUAACCAAGGAAUGAGGCCAAAUCAAAAUUUUUACAAAAAUCCUCAAGGUUCCUAUGGACAAGCAGCACCACCUGGCUAUACAAACAACCAGAGAGUGGCUCAGAAAUCAAGUUUGGAGAUUUUAUUGGAAAACUGCAUAGCUAAUCAAAAUAAAAAUCUUCAAGAACUGAAAAACCAAACGGGAUUUCUGAACGACUCUCUCUCCAAACUCACUACCAAGGUUGAUUCUAUCGCCACACACACCAAAAUGCUUGAGACCCAAAUCUCCCAAGUGGCCCAACAAGUGGCCACCUCUUCUCAAAAAACAGGAGUCUUUCCUGGUCAACCUGAAACAAACCCCAAAGCUCAUGUCAACGCUAUUUUUCUUGGGGGUGGUAAGCUAGAAGAGACCGUUGCUAAAGCCAAAAGUGUCAAGGGAGAGAGUGUUAAGUGUCUAGGUAAGAAAGGUGCGAUAGAAGGUGAGAAACCGCUUGAUAAGAACAAAGCCCUUACACCAUUAAGGCUUACUAAGCUCGACUUGGAGGCUCAAUUCACUAAAUUCUUAAACAUACUUCAAAAAAUUUGCAUUAAGAUUCCCUUCGCUGAAGCUUUGUCUCGUAUGCCUCUAUACGCCAAGUUUUUAAAAGAAAUUUUUUCAAAGAAAAAGGCUAUAGAUCGUAAUGAAACAAUAGCUUUGACAAGGGAAAAUAGUGCGAUCAUCAAGAAGCCACCUACAAAGCUUAGAGAUCCAGGAAGUUUUGCGAUCCCUUGUAUGAUAGGGAGUGAAACCUUAAACCGAGCCUUAUGCGAUUUAGGAGCAAGUGUUAGUCUGUUGCCCUUACCCCUCUUUAAAAGGCUGGGGUUGGGAGAGUUAUAGCCUACCGAAACAACAUUGAAGUUAGCCGAUCGUUCUGAUAUCCAACCUGUCGGAUAUGUCGAACAUCCCUGUUAAAAUAGAAGGGAUAGACAUCCCAACUGAUUUCAUGGUGCUCGACAUAGAUGAGGACAAUGAGUGCCCUAUAAUCUUAGGACGACCCUUUCUCGCCACUGCGGGUGCUAUAGUAGAUGUUCAGAAUGGUAGGAUUGUUUUUCAAGUGAGUGAUGAGUUGAUUGGGUUUGAGUUGGAGAAUUAUAUGAAAGGUCCCGCUCUCUAUUCUUGUAACAUGGUUAAAGGUCAUGAUGUGAAAGAACGCUCAUUAGCACCAUCUACACAAUAUGACCUCUUUGAUCCCUUCUAAGGACACUUUCUUAUAACGUCAAGCUAAUGACUAUAAAGAAGCGCUUCGUGGGAGGCAACCCACGCAUUUAACAGCUUUUGUUUUGUUUUGUUGUUUUGUUUUUAAUUGUUUUGUAGGUAAUUAUCCGAAUAUGAUUCAAGAAAAGGGAAAAUUUUGAAACCCCGAUAUCCAGAACCUUGGCACGGCCCGUGCUCACACUGGCACGGCCGUGCCAGACCUCACCUUCCAAACACCUUCCAAAACUCCAGAAAGUAGGCACGGCCCGGGUAAGGUUGGCACGGCCGUGCCCGACUCCAGGUAAAGAUAAACCUCACCUUUCAUCUUCUUCUUCCUUCAUUCUUCACCACAAACAUCUCUCUACAUUCAAACUUUUCUCAAAAACCUCCAUAACCAUAACAAUCUCAAACCUCCAUAUCUGCCUCAACACAUCACCAAUUCACAAAAUUUCUUCACCCAAUCAACCACAAUCCACAUCUCAAUCAUAACCCUUCAAUCAAAAACAACUUUCCUCCAUCCCUACCAAAAAUCAUCAAAUUCGUAGCCCCCACUCACCUACCCAAAAACCCACACAUUCUUCACCAUUUCACCCAACCCAACUCCUAACAAUCACUCAAACACCAACCCCAUCACCCCACCAACCUUUUCCACCAAAAACAUUUCACAAAACCCAACCUUCACCCAAAACACCAAAGGUCAACCAAGGUUAAGGAUAAUGGCAUCUAGGAAAGGUGGAGCAAGCUCUUCCAGAGGACCACAAUCAAAGAAAAAAACGCAAGCCAAGAAUCAUGGCAUCCUCUUCAAGGACACCAAGCAAAGGGACAGGUAUAAAAUUCUUAUCUCUAAACCUUUGCAUCCUUGUCGAUAUCCUGAUCCUUAUACUUUAAGUGUGCUAGGACUAAGGGAUAGUGUGUUUAGCUUACUAGGAAAUUUAGGAUAGGUUGAUAUGCUUAGACCUAUGAAAGGUUUUGAAAAUUUCACUUUUGAAUUCCUAAGUUCUAUUGAAUUUACGAAGGAUAAAAUGAACUUUGAUAACCCCACCAUAGAGUCUCCUUCUGACUUUUAAAUAUGGAUUACGAGAUGUCCUUUGAAAAUUUUUGUUUAGAAAUGGACUUCGCAAAUGCGGGGUUCAUCCAUGCCUCUUGGAAUCCAAAUCUAAAGUCGGAAGACUAUGACCCCGCUCUCUUUUGGAAACGCAUUACCGGGCUAAGGCAAUAUAACCCUCGCAACAUUAAUAAGGCUAGUAACAUUCACAACCCAGUGCUUAGAUACCUCCAGAGAGUCAUGGCUUGUACUAUUUGGGCUAGAAAAGAGGUAGGAACAACUAGGACGGAUGAACUUUUUAUGCUUUGGGCAAUGCUUAGUAACAAUCCCGUUAAUACUUGUUUCUACCUACUUUAUUACCUUUCCUCCAUAGGAGCUAGACCUGACAAUAGAGCUGAGAUAGUAGUCGGUGGUAUCAUUACCUUCAUCGCUAGGAAGUUUGGAGUGGGUGAGGAAGAUAGGAUAAAUCCAAUUGAGGGCAACAAUAGGCUUAAUAUUGAAACUCUUUUUGCUAUGAACUUCAUUAAGAUUCACCCACCCAUUACUUAUGCACUUCAACUUCGCAUACCUCUUUUGUUUCUACUUCCUAACCCAUCUCGGACUAACCCCGAGGUGGAGGAAAAUUUGUUGUAUGUUGGUGAUGGAUUACAGGUACAUGAAGAGCAUAAUCAAGGUGACGAAGAAGGUGCACACAUACACCACGAAGAGGAACCCCAUGACCCUAACGACGUCAAUGAAAGAUGGGCAUGGAUCCAAACCGAGGUACAAAGGAUAAGCACCGAGCAACAAAGACAAGGUGUUGAAUUAUCCGGGCUAAGAAAUGAUGUCCUAAGGGGCAACCGCAUAUCCGAAGAAAAUAACCAAAUGCUUAGGAACAUGAUGCAACACUUCAACCUCCAAGGCCCUCCCUAUGGACCUCAAUAAAAAUGUGAGCUUUCCUCUUCCUCUUUUUCACCUUAUCUCUUCAAUCUCUAUCUCAUUCUUCUCCCUCUCCUUCUUUUUUUCUCUUUUAUCUUGAAUCAUUGAGGACAAUGCUUCUCCUAAGUGUGGGGGGAGCCUAAUAAAGUGUCUUUAGUCGUAGUGUUUCCAAACUCCCUUGAACUUUAUUCUUUUGUUUUGUUUCAUUGUAAAAGGCAUGGUUAAGUAGCUAAUUUUUAUUGAAAAUAUCAUGACACAAAAUUUUCAUUGUCUCCUCUUAUUUGGUUGAUUCUUGUACAUGAAAGCAAACUCUUGUGUUUUAAGUCUUCUUGAUAUACCCACAUCUUGUUUUAAAGUGAAUAAAAUUCUCCAAUGAGAAAAACACAAAGUUGCUUCCCUUGAGUAAAUGUAUGAAUAGGUAUUUUAAGGAAACGCGUUUUAAUCUUAGUGGUGCAUUAACCUUUUAAGAUUCUCAAAGUGCCAGUAGUAUAAGUUAGUAUAAGGGAGUUCAUAAAAAGCCAAAUUAAUUCCAAGAUCUCAUCAUUGAAUCUAGAUUGGGGAAGGAGGUAGGCCCUCCGACUUCCUACGUGAAGAUGAUUGUUAUCUUGAGAAAAAAACUUUAAAAAGCAUCAUUGAAUCUAGAUUGGGGAAGGGGGUAGGCCCUCCAGAGUAACUUUUGCUGCUUUUGCUUAGAUUUUAAGCUACUCUAUUUUUAGCCCGAAUGUAAUAGCUUAGAUUUUAAGUCGAACAAAUGCUAUAAAUAGAGUAGCCAUCCAUCACAAAUAUUCAUCUUUACUUAGAAUACAAUAAGUGACAAUUGCUUUUCUAAUUAAAGUUCUUUUCUUUUCCCUUUAUUUUCUUGUCAUUUACCUUUAUGCUUUCUCUCUUCUCCCCAUGAACAUGAGUGAGUAGACUUCUCCUUGUCUUGGGAUUGUUGGAUAAGUCUAAAUGACAUAAUCCUAAUCAAACCAAGCUCUAAGCCUUAAUCUUAUGUAACCCUAAUUUCUUAUCUGAAUUCACCGCUUUAACAUGGAUCAACCAUUAUCAAACUGUGGAAACGAAAGUGGAGGGUUUGAUAAUUGUUUAUCCAUUAUUCCAAAUAUCAAUUCAUAAAAGGAAAGUGGAGCUUUGAUAUUCGAACAAGUGAAUUCAGACAAGGAUUGCAAAGUCAUCGAAAUAGGCUUUGCAAUCUUUGAGACAUAUAGUUUCGAUCUUCAAGGGAACUAAUAACAAUCAAGUCAGCGAAAUAGGUUUGGUUGUUAGAGGAACCAAAAUCUAAUAGUAAUCAAGUCAGCGAAAUAGGCUUGGUUGCUAGAGGAACAUAAGAGAAACUGUCUUGAGAAAUUAGGUCUAACAUAACAUUAUAAGCUUAUAGUUUUGGUUUGAGAAGGACUUGCUAUUUAGAUGAAACCAACGAUCCCAAGGCUCUUUUUAUAUUAUUAACUUUCAACGCUUGAAAACCUCCAACUUAUAAUUCUUUUCUCUUCUAAUCAUCUCUAAAGGUUAAUUGAAUUGAACUACUCCCUGUCGGAACGAUACUCUUUUUACUACUUCGAUAGAACCGUGCACUUGCGGUUUUAUCUCAUCAACAGGACAAAGAAAUAGGAAGGGAUGGUUCUUUCAUUGCAUUGAUAGAAGUCUAACUAGAAAAAGAUCUCUCUAUAACUUUGAGAAGAGAAUCGUUGGUUUGACCGACGAACUACGUGGGAAAAUGGACCUUCUUUCCUUUCUUUGAUUUUCAGCAAGCAUUUUUUGAAAGUAACAAUUCUAUUUAUGAAGUUUGGUUUAGGAAAACUUGCUAGUCGCGGAUUAGUGCGUUCUGCGCCGCCGGCGGCGCAAGUUUGGUACCAUUUCGAUGUGUUUCGAUUCUUCCGAACAAGAGAGGUUUGAUGCUUUUGAAUUCAUUGUAUGAAUUCCACUUCCUACUCGCAGUAUGCUCUUUAUGAUCUCGGCUCAUGAUUCAAUUGCCAUGUAUUUAGCUAUUGAGCCUCAAAGUUUAUGUUUUUAUGUGAUGGCAGCAUCAAAAAGAAAGUCUGAAUUUUCCACGGAAGCCGGCUCGAAAUAUUUAAUCUUAGGUGCAUUUUCCUCUGGAAUCUUACUGUUUGGGUACGACCGGACAACUACCGCUAUCUAAAAAUAUCCUUUCUUAGCUUAGAAUGUUGUUGUUAAAUAUAUAUCGUAAACUAUCGGAUUGGGAUUUUUCCUAGAUCUAUAUAGAGCCCAUUGGCUUUUCAUCGAGAUUCUAGCAAGCGCGUUGUUUUGAAUGCAUUCGGAAUUGGAUUGCGGUUCUACGAUAUAUCGAUCCGAAGAAAUUUCAGUUGUAGGAAGUGUGAUGCAAAGGAUACGGGAUCGCAUCCGAGCUCUUGAAGACCGGAAAGAGGCCCUCCUUCAAGAACAGCAAUCUCUCCUUGUGGAGGGGGCCAUAAGCAACCGCAGGGGAAAUGGAAACAACGGGGGGAACUAGAAUAGAAGAGUCCGUCGACUCUUUCUAGAAGAUUAAAAUAAGUAGUCCGUCGACGCAAAGUAGUGUGUUUUAAUGCAUGGCUUUAUUUGUUAUGUUUCAUGUUGUUAUAUUUCUUUUGGCACAAAAAUUGAAAUAGGUAGUCCGUUUUGGUACCAUAUCUAUUCCCAUGUUCCGAUCUUUCAAAAUAGUAAACCCAUUUUCCGGGUAAAGAAUACAAACAAUAUCUUAAUAAGAAUUGGCUAUCCAUAUAAAGAUAACGAAUGCUUUCUCCUCGUUCAUAUUCACAGUAAAAGUGAUCCGCUUUGCUUUCUUUUAGCAAAGACUUGUUGUAAUGUAACGAACGAAUGUAUGUGGUUGUUUACCAGAAAGAUAUUGGACUCUUUUUUCUUUGUCGGCUGUAAACCAAGUUGCAAGACCGGGAAUGAGCUUUACAACCUGGUUCCCAGUUCUUGAAGGGAGGGGAAGAUCCCGCUACCGAUCUAAUUGCCUUGCCUACAACAGACAGAUCUGGGGGCUAUGGCUUUGAACGGCUCUAGCGAAAGUUAUCUUACCGGGAAGUAACAUUGUACUUGAUUGCUUCUCAUGUCUUGAUUCCAAAAACUCUUCCUCCAAGUUCGAUGUUGAUAAGCUUGCUCGUCUUGCUGAUAUUUAUCAUGCAGACUUUUCUGAUGAUGACUGUUGAACAAUAAGGGAGCAACUUGACACUUUUGUACUUCAAGUGAAAAUGCAUGCUUCCUUUUCUUCUUGUGAAGAUGUUCAAAGUUUGGCUAUGAAGAUGGUUCAAACUAAGAAACAUUUGGUAUUUCCAUUGGUCUACAAAAUCAUUGAGUUGGCUUUGAUAUUGCCAGUGUCGACAACUUCCGUUGAAAGAGCUUUUUCACCAAUGAAGAUUAUCAAGACUAAAUUACGCAACAAGAUCAACAAUAUGUGGUUGAAUGACUUGAUGAUAUGUUACACCGAGCAGGAGAUAUUCGAGUCACUUGAUGAUGUUGAUAUUAUUCGAACAUUAACUCAAAAGAGGUCGCGGAAAGGGAAUUUACCUCCUAAUUUUAUUUAGCACGCUAUUGGCAGGUUAUAUUUCAUCUUUCUUAUUUAAAAUUGUACUUUUGUUGAAAAAAUGAAGAACCUCUUUUAUUUCGAUUUAUGACUAUUUAUAUAUAUUAUGUCACAUAUGAAUUUGCGAUAAACUUUUUGCCCAAGCUCUAUAAAAUUCCUAGCUCCGCCACUGUACUAAACGUAGGACUUUUAUCAUGAUCACUUCUAAAUUUACAAUCAUGAUUGAUGUGCUGCAAGGCUAGAAAGUGAAUAUUGGUCGCUGGUUGGUGGUUUCCUAAUUGGUAACAUAGGUGGUGGUGUUGUCGUUGUUUUGUUGCAGACAGUAUUAGCAGUAGCUUGCUUGUUGUAGGUUUUGUUUUUCUUAUAUUGCUUGUUCUGAUGAGGCCUAAUUGGUGUGGUCUAAUUUGGCUUGGCAGUGUCAUAAACUAAUAAUGGAUGAAAAUGGAACCCUUUAAUUUGUUAAACCACAAAUGUAGUAACUCCUUAAUUUCUUAGAUUAUAUGUAAAUUGUCAAAAACUGUAAAACUACAUCUUUUUGCAUUUAGACAACCAGACAACAUUGUUAAUUGAUAGUUUGUUACAUCAGCAUGUUUACAGCUAGGGGGUCUAGCACAUUGUCGUUCGAUUGAUUCACACAUAACUGUAUGGAAUAGUGUUGGAUGAUAAAUUGAUAAUUUGACCAUUGCACUACUUGACUUGAAUGCAAAGUGUGGCAGCAUUGACAAUGAAUAUGAGCUAUUUCAUGGCCUAAUGAAGAAGAAUUUGGUAGUGUAUUUUGCAGUGAUCUUUCAAUGUGUAAUACAUGGAAAAACACCUACUAAUGUGUGAUCCAUUUGAUGUGAGACUUCCACUUUUUUCAAUUCACACUACAUUAAUUCUACCCAUUGUGGGAAUUUGUGUUUAGUCAAUUACUCAAUUUCAACAUAUGUUCCAACAAUCCUCCAAUUGAAUUUAAAAUAUGAUUUCAGUAAUAACGUCAAAGACGUUUCCAUAAGGUUGCUAAUAAACAAAGGUGUUGUAGACAAGUUGAACCUUUGCAUAGCGGAUAAUACUCUGACUUGUCAAGAGUUGCCUACAACAUUGAACUCUAUCUCAGACAUAGAACCCGCACACAAACCUUUUCCUUAAAGUGUAUUCUAUAAGCCCGUGCGUUUAUGGCCCUACACGUCUAUCCCAGUUUUAACGAACGCUCUAGGAAUUCUGCCUCGAAAUUCCAUAGGACCGGCCUCAGUUCCACAUUCGUAUAGGUGAGUCUAUCAAGGAUACUCCUGUAACUAGGUACCCCACUCAAUAUAGAGUAUAGAUCUCAUUACGAGUUUCUAUUACCUCAUCCUUCUUUCAUUGCAGGAUCAUGCAUUCUUAAUCCUUAUCAUAGCAUGUUCUAUCACUUCAUGACUUGUUAUUACCCAUUGAACCUAAGUCUUGGGAUCUCCAGUCAUGUAGGUCGGGUUUCCAUCACUUAGUAAUCUAUAAGCAUUAGUCUCAUCCUAUUCGAUGUGUUUUAGGACUUUCUUUCUAGUAAUUCCUUUCGUCAAAGGAUUGACUAAUUCUUUAUCAGUACGUACAUGAUAUACUUUAACCGUUCCUUUUGAGAGUAGCUAGCUCUACAUACUUUAUGUGUUCGUUCCUUAUGAUCUUUCAAUAGCAUGACAAUGCUUCUCAUCCGUCUAAUAGUAAACUUGAACAAAAGUCUCACGACGUGGCCAACGUUGAGUCUAAUACAUACAAUGACAUACCUAGAGGCUACCAUUGAUGCUCGCAUAUUCUAUUUGUCUAACACCAUCUCAAGUGUUCUUGAAAAGUUUUACACUUAGAUCAUAAAGUGUGCUAGCAAGUUUAUAGUCAAAUAAUUACAUUUCCUUAAGCUAUUCUAAACCUUGUGAGAUUCAUCGAAAAAGUUCUCUUUUUUGAUCUAGUAAUCUUGAAACCAAGAAUUACUUAAACUUUUUCAAGGUCUUUCGUAUAAAUGUUGUUGAUAAACAAUGAUUUCACAUAAUUCAUAACAUGAAUCUCUAAUCCAAAUAUGAGCAAGUCGUCUUCAUAGAGACAUAUGAUCGUGCAAAUAUUAUUUCCAUGUUUAUAUCGAGUUUUCAUCCUGGAAGAUGAAAAGUCACACUUUGACCAAAACCAUAGGUAGCUUGGUUUGUAAGCUAAGUCUUACUAAAUUUAAUUUGAUUAGUAUGAUAGUCAAAGUAUGAUGAUUAUCGAUCAAAUGAACAAAUUAAUUGACUGAAACAAUGUUUAUAUCGAGUUUUCAUUCUUGAAGAUGAAAAGUCACACUUUGACCAAAACCAUAGGUAGCUUGGUUUCUAAGCUAAGUCUUACUAAAUUUAAUUUGAUUAGUAUGAUAGUCAAAGUAUGAUGAUUAUCGAUCAAAUGAACAACUUAAUUGACUGAAAAAAUGUUUAUAUCGAGUUUUCAUUCUGGAAGAUGAAAAGUCACACUUUGACCAAAACCAUAGGUAGCUUGGUUUCUAAGCUAAGUCUUACUAAAUUUAAUUUGAUUAGUAUUAUAGUCAAAGUAUGAUGAUUAUAUAUCAAAUGAACAAGUAAAUUGACUGAAAUAAUGCUUAUAUUGAGUUUUCAUCCUUGAAGAUGAAAAGUCAAACUUUGACCAAAACCAUAGGUAACUUGGUUUGUAAGCCAAGUCUUACUAAAUUAAAUUUGAUUAGUAUGAUAGUCAAAGUAUGAUGAUUAUAGAUCAAAUGAACAAGUAAAUUAACUGAAAUAAUGUUUGUAAGCUAAGUCUUACUAAAUUUAAUUUGAUUAGUAUGAUAGUCAAACUGUGAUGAUUAUAGAUCAAAUGAACAAGUAAAUUGACUCAAAUAAUGUUUAUAUCGAGUUUUCAUCCUUGAAAAUGAAAAUUCACACUUUGACCAAAACCAUAGGUAGCUUGGUUUGUAAGCUAAGUCUUACUAAAUUUAAUUUGAUUAGUAUGAUAAUCAAAGUAUGAUGAUUAUAGAUCAAAUGAACAAAUAAAUUGACUCAAAUAAUGUUUAUAUCGAGUUUUCAUCCUUGAAGAUGAAAAGUCACACUUUGACCAAAACCAUAGAUAGCUUGGUUUGUAAGCUAAGUCUUACUAAAUUUAAUUUGAUUAGUCUGAUAGUCAAAGUAUGAUGAUUAUAGAUCAAAUGAACAAGUAAAUUGACUAAAAUAAUGUGGCUUAAUACAUCAUUUGGUCCCUUAAUUUAUUUUUGACUUUCAUUUUAAUCUCCUAAUUAAAAAACGUCUCAAAUUGAUCCCUUAUGUCUUCUUCCGUUAUCUCUUUUGGUCCUCUCCGUUAGUUUUUAACAUCAAAUGUCUUAGGUGAACCAUGUUUAAAGGUGGUCCACCAUAUGCCUUACUAAAUUUUUUAAUUUUAACCAUUUGAUUUUUUCUUUAAAACAAGACCAUUGAAUCAAGUUGAGUCUAUUGUACUUUACUGUGAACCACUAACAUCUGAUAAAAUCCAUUCAUCUUCUUCCUCAUCUCUUCGUGUUCUUCAUAAAAUUAAACAAAAUUAGAAGAAAAAGAAAGAAAGAAAAACUCACAUCCAUUGAUCUUAAAUUAUCAAUAAAUCUCUAAAUAAUUUCUUCCUCCAUUACAAUGAUCUUCCAUCCCUAAUUCUCUAGUUAAAAAACUCAGAUCCAUUUCUCGCUUCAAACCCAAAGGCUCUCUAACUCCCAAUCUAUCAUUGUCCUCUUUUCCGUGCUAUUAUUAUGCAAAUCCAAAAACAACACACGACCCAAGCCGACACUUACCUAGAUCCACAAAAAUGAUUAUCUUGUUGAUGUUACUCUUGAAUAUUUCUCAAAUGAUGACAAAAUAGAUAGGGACAUCAUAUCUCCAUUAAAAAAACGAAGAAGAUGAAGUAAUAUGCUGAGUGUUGAUAAUGUUAAGAUAUUGACCAAAAUCAUAGGUAGCUUGGUUUGUAAGCUAAGUCUUACUAAACCAUAGGUAGCUUGGUGUAGUCUUUCUGGAGCUGAAGCAAGGAGAUAUGUCCCCAGUCGAGUAACUAGUUCGCAUCCAAGAACGACUCGCACCUGUCUGUCUGCCUUUAUUCCUGAUCGAGUGCCCAGCUCAAUCCAAGAGCAGCUUGUACCUGUCAGUUUGUUUUUUGUGACCUGUCUACCCUGUCAUCUGCUAUCCUGCCAAUGUCUACCAAUCCCGCAAUGGAUACGACAUACUUUAAAUCCAACUCUCGUUUGUCUUGCAUUCAUAAUCCAAAUGUUGCAUGGCAUUCAUGAUAUUCGAAAGUGUACGAGCGUAUUUUUACGUCCAAACACAGUGCAAAUGUUAGUAUUUAAGUAUCUUCGUCCCGUCAAGCCAAGGACUCCGUCUCUUGACCCUCGGGACAAAGAAACUUAAAUAGGGGCAGCUGUUAUACCCUGAUUUUGGACCUAAAAAUACUCGUUCAAAUUUCUUUUCUACCACUGAUAAUUGUCAAUUUACUGUUGUUUUACUUUGAAUCUUCACUUUAUUUUCAUCUGCAUAUUUUACUGUCUCUGUCUCAAGGUAUUUUCAAAUCAUGGUUUUGCUUGUGUUUUUCUUGCAUAGGAUCAUCCCAAAGUGUCUUUCUUACAUUACAAGUCAUUUGAAAACUCUCUGAAUCAUUGCAUUGCUUUUCCUGCAUGUUAUUUCAAAAAUCAUACAAAAGGGGUAUUUUGGUCAUUUCCUGCAGUGGAACCCAUUUUAGUCCCUGUGUUUGUCUCUGAGUCUUUUCGGCUUGUUUUACGAAUCAUCGUUGAGUCUUUGUUUAAAAACCAUUUCAAAAUUGUGUCUGAGUCAGUUUGAGUCAGCUUAGUCCCUAGGGGCAUUUUAGUCUUUUCCCAUCCAAAAUUCGACAGAGAGGUAUUUUAAAAUACCUCAUUGUUGUAAUUGGUUCGUUUUAGUCCUUUGUUGGUUUUAUUUUAGGUUUCACUUUACUUUUUUUUUUCUUUCAAUUUACCAAUUUUAAUUCAAUUUUAUUUUUAAUUGCAUUAUGAUCCCUCAAGCAAGUUUCCAGAAUUGCACUUUAGUCCAAAGCUUUUUAAAUUUGCAUUUUAGUCCAUUAUUAUUAAUUGCAGUUUAGUCCUCAAUUUUACAUUUUUUGCAGAAAGGUCCUUAGGUCACAACAAGUCCAAGGCCGAGCCAUUUUUCAUACAUGUCCAGGUGUCACCAUUUCAUUGGAUCUCAAGUACAAGUGGCAGCUUAUAAAUAGUGCACAGUGUCAGAGAAAUCCACACAGUGACCCAUUCAACCAGUGCCACAUCACAAACACGUGAAAAACUUCUCUCUCUUGGCAGUUAGGAUCAAAACAGAAAAUCCACCAAGAACAAUUCACAAACCCUAACUUUCAGAACCAAAUUUCAUCAACAAAUUCACCGAAAUCGCAUCAGUUCUCAGAGAUUCAUGGAUGAAUCUUCAUCACUGAACUGAAGUCUCUGCAAUUCCAGGCGCGAAUUCCUCACCGGAGGUGAGAAACUCAAGCACCGAUCACAGGGAGAAGAAGAAGAAAAGGAAAAGAGUUUCAAACCGGCGAAGAAGAUGAAGAAAGUGAACCGGUGAAGACACCGAUUUAUUUUCGGUUUCCAAGCAAAAUCAACAAAACAGAGCCAAGAAUCAAGUUUUUCCGAAGAAUCUCGUGAAAUCUCCGAUUAAAAACUCAGGUAAAACUCAAACUUCAUCUUCCUUUCUCAAGAACAGUAACAAAGACGAAGCUAUGUAGAUUUGUAGGAGUUUGAACGGUUACAUUCAAAAAGUUGAAAAAACCUAAAAAUGAUUUUCAAAACUGUAUGAAAAUUCUAGAUCUACGUUGUUUCAAGCCUUGUUUGUGAAAAUCAGUGUUAGAUUCGUGUUUAGGGUUUAGAGGCGAGUAGAAGGACGUAAGAAUUUUGAAGUUCUGGUGAGGUUAGAGGUUGCCGGAAACUGGAGAUCUCACCGGAGAAGAUGAAGAUUCCGGCGGACCUAUGAAGGUUCCGGCCAGAUCUUCAUCUUCCCCGGCCGUUCGUUCAUGAGUCCGGCGGAGGAAGUCAAAGAGAGAUGAGAGAAGUGAGAAGUUAGAGAGAGAAAGGACAAUAGCAAAUGAAAUAAACCGCUGCUCCCCUCCUUGUAUAGGCCAGUGAACCGGACCGGUCCAAGACCGGUCCAUUUCCCUUCAAUCCUGGCCGUUUGAUCUAGGGUUUGAUCCCUUGGAUCAAUCCUGUGGUUCCUGUGCGUCCGGACCCUUUAGGUUUGGGCUUGGGCCUGUUCCCUUUGGUUUAGCUGCGUUUUUGCUGUUUUCUUGCUAUUCACACCUUGUUUUCUUGCUGUUUGAACCACUGUUCGUUCUGAUUUUCUCGUAAAAAUUCCUAAAAAAAUUUCUAUGUGUUUCUUGAUACAUUUUUGACUUUUUUGUGAUGUUUUACAUGUUAUAAAAUUGAUAAAAAAUACAUGUGUUGCUUUCUUGAUUACUUUUUCUCUUUAGUUGAAUUUCAUGCAAUUUCUCGUUUUUCCGUUCGUGAUAUCUUGAUCUAUGGUAUGAAUGUCCGAUGUGCAAUUUCAUGAUGAGAAUGUCGCUGUUUGUGUGUGUGUUUCGCUGUUUUCGACAUGAUUUGUUAAUUUCUUGCCUCGCAACUAUUGCAUUUCUCUUUGUAUUGUGGUUAUCGUCGUUAUUUUACCGUUUAUCCUAUAUUCCUUUGUUUGCUCUCCUUGCCAUAUUUUCAUGCCUCAUUUUACUAACCAUUUUUGUUCUAUGUCUCAUCCAUUUUAUAGCAUUUCAUCAUUUCAUUCCUAUUCAUUCUUAUGUUAAGUGGACAUGUAAUAGUUCUAGGUAGUUUAGUUUCCUUUUAAUUUCUUGCAAGACCAUAUCAUGUAAACUAGGGCAAAGUGUAAAGGACAAUGGACUCUCUAUAAUGAUGUACACCGACACAAGCACCGACACGCACACACGUUAUAUGUUUACCGCUUAGAUGUAUGUUUAGGAAACGCAAUACUUAGAAAAAAUAUCAUUUUCCCGGAAAUAACUCCAUAACUCAAACUUUUUUUUCUCUAAUAAACCUUGGAGUCAACACUCCAUUGUAUUUUCCUUUAUUUUCUUAAUCAAAACUUCAAUGAAUCUUAAUUUCUACUUAGACACUCUUUCUUUAAUAAUUGAACCAACCAUUCACUAUUGUCUCGUCUCAUGCCUUUACGGCCUCCUUCUCUUCUUCAAAACCAUUUGCAAAACUUAAAAUCAAUCAAACACACAAAAACAAUUUUUUGAGAGAGAACUACAUGGAAUUUUGAUCCCUUAAAAGGGUAUGUAGGCAAGAGGUCAAAACCUCUCCAAGUCCAAUAAAAUAAAAUCUCAAACAUUUUCCUCCCUCCAUUCUUAAACUAAAUAAACUUUCUUUUCAAUAAAUAAGCAUAAAAAUAAAGCGUAGUCAUAAACUUAGGAAAACGGUUCCUAUAGAAUACUAUAGUCGUUCCGGAUGCUUAACACCUUCCCGUAACGAAAACGACCCCCGAACUUAGAGUUUCAAAGGGUUUUCUCAAAUUUCCCCUUCCCAAGAAAAAAUAGAGAAUAUCAAAGAUUGAAAGGUUCAAGCCUAAUUAAUGACUUGACACCCCAAAAUCCAGAUAACAAGGCCCAAGAGGGAAGAGACUCCUGUUGAAAUAGUUUGUUACAGAUGUGGUGAGAAAUACGCAGACGAUGCACGAGGAUCGCUUGAUUAGAGGUAUAUUUUCAAGGACGAAAAUUCUUAAGUUGGGGAGAGUUGUAACGCCCCAAUUUUAUUUAAUUAUUAUUGGUCGUUUUAAAGUCUUUUUAUAUAUGAUUUUAUAUUAUUAUGUGGUCUGUUAUAUUUUAUUAAAUGAGUUAUGUUACUAUUUAAUAGAAUAAGUGGGAAUUUAGAAUAUUUGGAGUUCAAGGGGCUGAUUUAGAAAUAAGGAGAAUUGAGGGGGAUUAAGUGGGAAUAGAAAAAGUUGGAUUAGGUUUAGAAAGGAAACUAGAAAGGGAGAAUUAGUCAGAAAAACAUUUUCACGUGGAAGCAGCUUUUGGUAGAAAAACCAAGAGGGCGCCAAGAGUAUCCAAGAGAAGAUCGUGUAGAGCUUUGUUCAUCAAUGUAAGGUAAGGGUGGGACUAUCAUUCAGUGAUCUUAAGUCUAUAAUUCUGAAAUUGGAUUUAACAUGUAAGUUGUUCUUGAUUUGAGAAUUAGGGUUAAAAGUGAUGAUUUGGUGAUUAGAUGAUGAAAACGUGUUGAAUUAAUGUAAAAAUUGUGUACAGACCUUAGAUAAUGCAUAGGAUGAUGAUUUGAAUCAAAUUUAAGGAUAUAACCAUGGGAUUCGGUGAUUUUUAUGAAAAUCUGCGUUUCUGCCGGAGCUGAGAUUCAUCGCUCGCCCUCGCAUGCAGCAAGCCUCGCCUUGCGAGGGAUUAUCUUCAUCGCUCGCUUCGCGAGCCGUUUUCUCUCGCCUCGCGAGUGAACCCAGAUGUUGCUCGCCACCGCGAGCAAGACACUCGCCAUAGCGAGUUGACCAGUGAGGUCAUCAUGAUUUUGUGAAUUAACGUUGUUGGUCAAGUCCUAGAUGGUUUUGAGUGCCGGAAUGUGUAUAAGAAUGAUUAGGCAGUUUUUAGAAUGAAAUUCAUUAUGGAGAAGUUAAAAAUGGGAUUUUUGUGUGAAAAAGUUGAAGUUCCCGAGAGCACCCUGAUUUUAUUCGCCAAGGCGAGUAGCUGGUUCGCCAAAGCGAACAGCCACCUUUUGUGAACUCGCCAUAGCGAGUAGAGGCGCUCGCCUCGCGAGCCUUUGAGUGUCAGACAGCCUUGUUUAGGGUUUUUGCGAUCUUUGCCGCACGAGAUGCUAUGAGAUGAUCCUUGGGUUAAGAUAAAGAUUUAUUAAAAUAUUGUUGAUGUUCAGUGAGUCUGAUAUAAGAUGGUUGAUGAUGUUAAUAUUAUGGUAAAUUCGUCAAUGCAUUAUGUGGAUUAUGUAUGAUGUUUAAGUAGUGUUGAUUAUCAUUUGGUAUUGUCAUAUUUUGGGAUGUCUAUGUGCUACUAGUGUUGCUGUUGGAUCUUAAUUAAGAUGUAAAUGUUGGUCUAAAUUGUAAGCAUUGUUGGGUUGUACGUUGCCGAAUAAGUCAUAUGUAAGUUAUGGAAAUUGUCGAUGUUCUUAUCAUCGCUGGUGUUGUUGUUGAAGUCGUAGUUGUAUACUCUUACUUUAUCGUUUUUAUAAGAGGUGGUGUACUCUUACUUGUCGUUUUUAUAAGAGGAGGUGUACUCUUACUUUAUCGUUUUUAUAAGAGGUGGUGUACUCUUACUUUGUUGUUGUUUAUAAGAGGUGGUGUAAUCUUACAUUGUUUAUGUUGAUGAGUAUGACGAGGUUAUGAUGAUCUUUUAUAGGGUUGAAUGUGAGGUUGUUAUGAUAUUACAUGAUGUUACCUAUGAGUUGUUAAAUGUACUUGAUGAGGGUUAUGUUAAGUUGAUAAGUUGUCUUCUAUUCAUGAGCACUAAGGGGAUGUUAAGAAGAAUUAUUAUUGAGUGUAUAUGAUGAUGUCUAUGUUGUUAACUGUAAUUGAUGAAUUAUAUGCUUAUUAUUAUUGUUUGAGAAAUCUCACCCCUUCUGCUUGGAAAUGUUGCCCUUCGUAUGGGUAACUUGCAGGUAAUUGAAGAUUAGUAAGAGUCGUGGCUCAAGUGUCUAAGGCACUUAUACGUACGGGAUUGGAUUUCUUAUUGUUUUUCAUUCCUUAUGUAUCACAUUUUUGGAUUAUGCUGAUGUAGCCCUUAUUUGGUUGUUGAAUUAAUUGAUUGGGCUUUUAUGUCAAGACUUUUAUUGAAGAAUUAAUAUGUUGGAUGUUGUGGUUAUUUAAUGUUGAGAAAAUAUUUCCGCUGCAAAAUUGUUGUCGUUUUAUGAAGGAUGUUUUAUUAAAUAGUUUUAUAUUCUAUUUAAGAAAAUUUUGAAAGUAGUGUGACAUGCCCGUUUGGGAUUUACUUUGAUGAUUAUUUAAUAUUUAAUUGCCUUUGGGUAACGGGGUGUGAUAAUUGGUAUCAGAGCAGGUUGGUCCGUCCGGCCAAGUAGUAGAGUCGUGUUGAGAGUGUCAACUCUAAACUGUCUUUUGUUAUUCUAAUUGUUGUUUGUGGUGUAGUGUUUGGAGAUGGCUAGGAGAAAUGAUGCUGCUAUUGCUGCUGCACUUGAGGCUAUAGCUCGAGCUGUAGAACAACAUCCACAAGUUGGUGCUGGUAACGAUGGAGUAAGAAUGUUGGAGAAUUUCUUGAGGAAUCAUCCACCAACAUUCAAGGGAAGGUACGACCCUGAUGGAGCUCAGAAGUGGCUCAAAGAGACUGAGAGGAUCUUCAGAGUGAUGCAGUGUAGUGAGGUGCAGAAGGUGCGGUUCGGCACGCACAUGCUAGUUGAGGAAGCUGAUGACUGGUGGGUUAGUCUUCUACCUGUCCUAGAGCAAGAUGGUGCUCCUGUUACUUGGGCUGUAUUUAGGAAAGAAUUUUUUAGCAGAUACUGUUGGUGUAAGCCCUAGAGGCCAAUAGUUUAUGUUAAACCUAUCUUAUGUAUCAUGACUUUUAUUAUUGAAUAAUAUAUGGCACUCUUUAUUAUAUUUAGAUAAUGUUAAUAAAGUCCUUAGAAUAGAUAGUUCGUGUAAUAAUAUAUUAAGUGUGACUUAAUCAUGAGAUUACAUUAUCUUAUAGAACGCUAUUCUUAAAUGUAUCCGUAGUCAAAGCUUUAAUAUGAAUAAAGGAUAAUAAUAAAGCGUCGAGACUAUUAUGUAUGUAGACUGAUGACCGCAUCUCAUGGAUCAUAGAUAUGAGAUAUCAAGUCUAUACAUAGAUAUAAAUAUUAGGAGUAAUAUUUAUAUUGGAUUGACCCACCGUGAGAAUACUACAUAGUAAGUUAUGAAAUUGUCAUAAGAUAUUCUCACAAUGAUAAUAAUGUAUAUCGCUCUUAGACCUGAAACCACUAUGAUCUCUAGAUGUGGACUCAAGUGCUUUGUUGCCAUUCUAACGUUGUCUGUAAAAGGAUAAUCAUAACGUUGGUUGAUGGGUACUUGAUGAAUCAUGCUAAUGGACAUGAGUGUCCUAGAUGGGAUUUAUCCCUCCUCAUUAACAAGAGAUAUAUCUUUAGGCCUCUUGAUGAAAUAUGAUUGUAAAACUGCAUGGCCAUGCCGAACUAAGUCAAUAUGAGAUAUUGGACUUAUUCGUUAUCCAGUAUAUUUCCGAAUCAAGAAAUAUAAUUAUUGAUCUAUACAAGGGUGACAAUACCUAUGUCUUGGGAUCAAUAAAAGGUAUCGAGACAAAGGAGUAAUUGUACACGUGAAUAUUAUCAUGAAAGGUUUCGUCAGAUCACUUGAUAUUCUUGUCACUUGGAUAGCAAUGGUGUGUUGCUAGAUACCGCUCAAUGUUUAUAAUAUUAAAUAUCAGAUUUAAUAUUAUUGCCAACGUGACUAGAACCUAAAGGGUCACACACAAAGAACAGUCAAAAGAGAAAUAUAUAAGUACGACUUAUAUAAGGGGUGCGUUUAGUAAAUAACGCUAAUCAGUUAGCAAAACUACUAAACUCGUUAUUGGGCUUAGUGAAGUCCAAUAGUGGCUUCUGACUUGCAUAGCACACAAGGAGUUCUAUAAAUAGAACCCUAGUGCUAAAGUUCAAGGUUACGCGCUCUGAAGAAACCCUAGUUCUCUGACUUCCAAUUCCUUGGCAAGCACCGAGUUUUGGAGGAGCACUGUUCGUGUGGACUUGAUAGAGGCUUUGCUGCUUGCUGCUUGCUUUGCUGUGAUCGUGAUCCAGAUUCCAGCUUCAAUCUCAGUUUCACACUUCGAGGUAACAAUCGAAUCACUGAUUCAUGUGUAGUUCGUAAUGAUCCAAGGAAAGAAAAUCGAAAUUUUUCCGCUGCUUAUUUUGUAAUCGAUUCAUGUGUAGAAAUCGAUUUUCCUUCAGAUACUUUUUGGAGGAUGUCCGAGGUAAGAAAGAAAUAGAAUUUCUGGAGCUGCAGCAAGGAGAUAUGUCAGUAACGGAGUAUGCUGCAAGGUUUGUGGAGCUUGCUAAGUUUUAUCCACAUUACACCGCGGAGAGACCUGAGUUCUCCAAGUGUAUCAAAUUCGAGAAUCGUUUGAGAGCUGACAUCAAGAGAGCCAUUGGUUAUCAGAAGAUUAGAAACUUUUCUGAGUUGGUGAGUAGCUGUAGGAUUUAUGAGGAUGAUACCAAAGCCCAUUAUAAGGCUAGGGGUGAGCGGAGGAAUAAGGAUAAGAAUCGUUCUAAGCCGUACAGUACCCCAGGUGAACUUCGGUUGAAUGACGAGAUGAGGCCCAAGAGGGAAGAGACUCCUGUUGAAAUAGUUUGUUACAGAUGUGGUGAGAAAGGUCACAAGAGUAACACUUGUGCUGGUAAAGUGAAACGGUGUUUUCGUUGCGGUGAAAAGGCUCAUACUGAGGUAGAUUGCAAUCAUGAUGUUGUAGUUUGCUAUAACUGCAAGGAAGAAGGCCAUAUUAGUUCGCAAUGACAGAAGCCUAAGAAGGCCCAGACUGGUGUGAAGGUUUUUGCUUGGUGUAACGCCCUCUCUAAUUAUUUGAUUAUUUUAAAUGAGUUUAGAAUAUACUUAUAUGAUUUGUGUGAUUUAUAUGAUUUAUUUUGAUGAGUGAUAUUUUGUUAUGAUAUAUGUUAUAUAUUUAUUAAAAUAUUAUAUAUGUUAUUUGAUUUAGAAAUAUAUAUAUAUAUAUAUAUAUAUAUAUAUAUAUAUAUGCUAUUUGAUUUAAAAAUAUAAUAUAUGUUAUUUGAUUUAGGAAUGUAUAUAUGUCAUUUGUUAUAGAAAUAUAUACACGAUUUGUUGUAGAAAUAAAUGUGAUUUGUUAUAGAAAUAAAUGUUAUUUAUUGUAGAAAUAUGUAUGCUUUGUUGUAGAAAUAUAUAUAAUCUGUUAUAGAAAUAUGUAUGAUUUGUUAUGGAAAUAUAUAUAUAUAUAUAUAUAUAUAUAUAUAUAUAUAUAUGUUAUAGAGAUAUAAUUGUUAUUUAUUAUUGUUAUAGAAACAUUUUAUAUAUAUAUAUAUAUAUAUAUAUAUAUAUAUAUUGGGAUAGAAUAUUAAUAUUUGGAUUUAAGAGAAAAAUAAGUAGGUUAAAGAUUUAUAUAAAUAGGAGAGAACUAGUUUAGAAAAACAUAAGCUUUUGGAGAAAAGGGAGAAAAGCCAAGAGAAGAGGGAGAGACCUAGAGGGGCUGCGAUUUCCUGAUUAUAAGGUAAGGGUGAGACUAACUUUGCAAUUCUAUUAAGUAUGUGAAUCAAUGGUUAAGUUUAACAUGAAUUAGGAUGAGUUUAAGAAGAAUCGGAAAUUAGGUCAAAUUGAUAGAAUUGAUGAUUAAACGGUGGAAACUUGUUAAAAAGAUGUAGAAACUGCCCUUAGACCUUAAAUAAUGAUUUAGAUGAAUUCUGGAAUUGAAAUUAGGCUUAGAACCUUGUUAGAUGAUGAUUUUCGUGUAGAAAGUGCAUCAUGUUCGAGCCUAGAUUCAUCGCUCGCCACGGCGAGCUAUGAUCCUCGCCUCGCGAGUGAUGAUCUUCAUCGCUCGCCACGCGAGCCUUCCCCUUCGCCUCGCGAGUGUUUUGGUAUUGCUCGCCAUUGCGAGCAACCUUACUCGCCAUAGCGAGCUAAGGCAGAGAGCAUGUUAGAUUUUGUGUUUCGACCUUUUGAGUUGAACCUUAGAUGCCUUUGAGUACCUUUAGGUGCCUACUAUUGAUUAGAGAAUGAUUUAGAACGAGAUUGAACCUAGAACAACCUUAGUUGAAAAGUUGGCCUGUACUCGCCACGGCGAGCAGAUGCUCUCGCCCCGCGAGCACUUCCAGAAUUGAGUGUUUUUAGUGCAUUGUGAGACUUGAGUUGCUUGGAUUGGUUAGAAAUGAACUUUAGGUACAUAGUGUGACCUAUUAAAGAUAAUGAUUGUGAAUUGUGAAGCUAUAUUGAAAUGCUAAGUGUUUAUAAUGUGAUUUAUUGAUUGAUUGCAUUACUUGAAUUAUUAUUGAAUGAUCAGGAAGUUGUUGAAAAUGAAUUGGUAUUAAGCUGUUGAUAUAAUCUGAUUAUGCUGCUAUUGUUAUUUAACUAAGUUACAUGAGUUGUUGUUGAUUAUCAUUUGAUAUUGUUAUAUCCUGAGAUGUUUAUGUGUCGCCUAUGUUGCUGUUGUUGGUUAUGUGAAAUAUUUAUAUGCCUUAUGUGGAAGAUGUUUGAUGUUUAAUUAAUGCUUCACAUAAAUAUUGUUAUGUUGUGAAUUGCAAUUGAUAUAUUGAUAUCUCUCUAUUGUUGUGUGAUUUGACUGUGCUACUGCUGUUAUUUAACUAAGUGCAUGAUGUCUAUAUAUAUAUUAUGAAAUGAUGAUGUUUAGCUCCAAAUUAUUGGAUGCAUGAUGAUAUGUUGAUUGCGAUGAUUACGGUGUUUUGUUGUUAAGAGUCCAUGCAUAGCAUUUCAUUGAGCUUUGUCCUCACCACGAUUAGGAGCUUUGUCCUCCGCACGUUUUAGGAGCUUUGUCCUCCGCACGAUAAAAGUUUAUUAAUACUUAUGAUGACGAUUGGUACCACAUGCAUAUAAGUGUCUAAGUUGCAUUAUCGCAUAUGUCGAGUCAAGGUCGUUGUUGAUGAAUUAUCAUCCAUGAGUUGUUAAGUUGUCGAUGAAUUAUCAUCCAUGAGUUUGUCGAGUUGUGUUCUACCCAUGUGUUGUUGAAGAAGUACCUAUGAAGAUUAUACGAUGUGAAUUAUAUGAUGUUGACCAAAAUAUUGCUAUGUUGUUUAACAUGUUGUUUAUGAUAUUGUUAUGUUGCUACGUUGUUUAAGAUAUUGAUUAUGAUAUUGUUAUGUUGCUAUGUUGUUUAACAUGUUGAUUAUGAUACUGUUAUGUUGCUACAUUGUUUAAGAUAAUGAUUAUGAUAUUGUUAAGUUGUUAUGAUGUUGUGUAUAAUUGUUACUAUUAAGUGAUAAAUAUGUUGUUCUAUAUAUGAUUAAUAUUAUUAAGUGAAUAUUAUGUUAUGUUAUUGAUAAUGAUCGAAUGUUGUGAUUACUUGGUAAUUGUUUAUCAAAGAUGCUAUGAUGUUUAAGAUGAUAUUGUUUAAGAUGUUUAUGUUGAAGAUUUAUGAUGUUGAUUUUGGUGUUAGUAUGUGUUGAUUAUAUUUUCAUAAGAUGAUGAAUACCUUGUUGUUAUAUUAAUACAAGAAGAUGAAUAUGUUGUUGUUAUAUUAUUAUAUUAUGAAGAGAUGAUGUAUAUAUAAUUAUUAUUAUUAUUAAGUGAAUAUCAUGCUAUGUUGUUGUUAUAUUAUUAUAUUAUGAAGAGAUGAUGUAUAUAUAAUUAUUAUUAUUAUUAAGUGAAUAUCAUUCUAUGUUGUUGUUAUAUUAUUAUAUUAUGAAGAGAUGAUGUAUAUAUAAUUAUUAUUAUUAUUAAGUGAAUAUCAUGCUAUGUUGUUGUUAUAUUAUUAUAUUAUGACGAGAUGAUGUAUAUAUAAUUAUUAUUAUUAUUAAGUGAAUAUCAUGUUACGUUGUUGUUAUAUUAUUAUAAGAAGAUGUUUAUGUUAUGAUGUAGAUAAUUAUUACUAUUAAUAAGAGAUGAUUAUAUUGUGUUGUUUUAAAGUUAUUAGUGAUGAUGAUUACAUGAUGAUAUCUAUGAGUUGUUAAGUGUACUUGAUGAUGUUUAUGUUAAAUUGAUAAGUUGUCUUUUAUUAAUGAAUUGAUAAUGAGAUGUUUGAUGAAUAAUUAUUAUUAUGAAUUAAUGAUGUUGUUAUGCUAUAUAUGAACUAUGACUAUGAUGUGAUGAUCUAUGUUUGUUACGAUUUGGUUAAUAUGUGUUAAAUGAUAAUUAGAAGUUGGUUGAGUUAUUAAGAAUUAUUACAUGAAGAAUUAUUAUUACUAAUAGAUGAAGUUAUUUGUGUUGUUAAAUAUAAUUAUUGAAUUAUAUGCUUGAUAUUAUUGUUUUGUGAAAUCUCACCCCUUCAGUUUGAAAAUGUUGCUCUUCGUAUGAGUAACUUGCAGGUAUUAAUGAUUAGUAGGAGUGAUGGCUCAAGUGUCUUUAGGUGCUCUGAUACGUAACGGGAUGGGAAUUUGUUAUUGCUUUCUAUUCCUUACGUAUUGUUUCUGAAGAGUUAUGACUAUAUUUUUAGAAUGUAUUUUUAUGACAUAAUUGUAAAGAGUCUUUAGUGCCAAAGACUGUUUUGAUUAUUGAAUAAUUUCCGCUGCGAAGUAUUAAAGAUUUUUUAGUUAUUGAAUUUUAAAGGAUAAAUAGUUAUUUAUACAGUUUAUGAUUUUAAGAAAAGAAUGUGACAUUCCGUUUAGGUGAAUUACUCUGAUUAAAUAAAUGAAAUUUUCGCGUUGGAAAAACGGGGUGUUACAAUUGGUAUCAGAGCUGGUCGGUCUGUCCGGCCAAUUAGAAGAGUCGUGUCGAGUUUUAGUAAUAGUUAUAUUACUAUCUUUAUGCUAUUUGAUUAGUUGUUGUUGUGUUUCUAAUUAAUAGUUAUGUUUAUUAUGUGAUCAUGUUUGAUUGACUAACUUUGAUGUGGUUUGCAUGUUUUGUUGAUGUUUCUAUUUAACUAUAUAUGGUUUAGUAUGGUUAUACAAUAAUUGAGUUUAUUUCUUGUGUGUUUGAAUUUCGAGGACGAAAUUCUUUUAAGGGGUGGAGAGUUGUAACGCCCUCUCUAAUUAUUUGAUUAUUUUAAAUGAGUUUAGAAUAUACUUAUAUGAUUUGUGUGAUUUAUAUGAUUUAUUUUGAUGAGUGAUAUUUUGUUAUGAUAUAUGUUAUAUAUUUAUUAAUAUAAUAUAUAUGUUAAUUGAUUUAGAAAUAUAUAUAUAUAUAUAUAUAUAUAUAUGCUAUUUGAUUUAAAAAUAUAAUAUAAGUUAUUUGAUUUAGGAAUGUAUAUAUGUCAUUUGUUAUAGAAAUAUAUACACGAUUUGUUGCAGAAAUAAAUGUGAUUUGUUAUAGAAAUAAAUGUUAUUUAUUGUAGAAAUAUGUAUGCUUUGUUGUAGAAAUAUAUAUAAUCUGUUAUAGAAAUAUGUAUGAUUUGUUAUGGAAAUAUAUAUAUAUAUAUAUAUAUAUAUAUGUUAUAGAGAUAUAAUUGUUAUUUAUUAUUGUUAUAGAAACAUUAUAUAUAUAUAUAUAUAUAUAUAUAUAUAUAUAUAUAUUGGGAUAGAAUAUUAAUAUUUGGAUUUAAGAGAAAAAUAAGUAGGUUAAAGAUUUAUAUAAAUAGGAGAGACCUAGUUUAGAAAAACAUAACGUACGUACGACUGCUUUUGGAGAAAAGGGAGAAAAGCCAAGAGAAGAGGGAGAGACCUAGAGGGGCUGCGAUUUCCUGAUUAUAAGGUAAGGGUGAGACUAACUUUGCAAUUCUAUUAAGUAUGUGAAUCAAUGGUUAAGUUUAACAUGAAUUAGGAUGAGUUUAAGAAGAAUCGAAAAUUAGGUCAAAUUGAUAGAAUUGAUGAUUAAACGGUGGAAACUUGUUAAAAAGAUGUAGAAACUGCCCUUAGACCUUAAAUAAUGAUUUAGAUGAAUUCUGGAAUUGAAAUUAGGCUUAGAACCUUGUUAGAUGAUGAUUUUCGUGUAGAAAGUGCAUCAUGUCCGAGCCUAGACACAUCGCUCGCCACGGCGAGCUAUGAUCCUCGCCUCGCGAGUGAUGAUCUUCAUCGCUCGCCACGCGAGCCUUCCCCUUCGCCUCGCGAGUGUUUUGGUAUUGCUCGCCAUUGCGAGCAACCUUACUCGCCAUAGCGAGCUAAGGCAGAGAGCAUGUUAGAUUUUGUGUUUCGACCUUUUGAGUUGAACCUUAGAUGCCUUUAAGUACCUUUAGGUGCCUACUAUUGAUUAGAGAAUGAUUUAGAACGAGAUUGAACCUAGAACAACCUUAGUUGAAAAGUUGGCCUGUACUCGCCACGGCGAGCAGAUGCUCUCGCCCCGCGAGCACUUCCAGAAUUGAGUGUUUUUAGUGCAUUGUGAGACUUGAGUUGCUUGGAUUGGUUAGAAAUGAACUUUAGGUACAUAGUGUGACCUAUUAAAGAUAAUGAUUGUGAAUUGUGAAGCUAUAUUGAAAUGCUAAGUGUUUAUAAUGUGAUUUAUUGAUUGAUUGCAUUACUUGAAUUAUUAUUGAAUGAUCAGGAAGUUGUUGAAAAUGAAUUGGUAUUAAGCUGUUGAUAUAAUCUGAUUAUGCUGCUAUUGUUAUUUAACUAAGUUACAUGAGUUGUUGUUGAUUAUCAUUUGAUAUUGUUAUAUCCUGAGAUGUUUAUGUGUCGCCUAUGUUGCUGUUGUUGGUUAUGUGAAAUAUUUAUAUGCCUUAUGUGGAAGAUGUUUGAUGUUUAAGUUGUUGAUGCUUCACAUUAAUAUUGUUAUGUUGUGAAUUGCAAUUGAUAUAUUGAUAUCUCUCUAUUGCUGUGUGAUUUGACUGUGCUACUGCUGUUAUUUAACUAAGUGCAUGAUGUCUAUAUAUAUAUAUUAUGAAAUGAUGACGUUUAGCUCCAAAUUAUUGGAUGCAUGAUGAUAUGUUGAUUGCGAUGAUUACGGUGUUUUGUUGUUAAGAGUCCAUGCAUAGCAUUUCAUUGAGUUUUGUCCUCACCACGAUUAGGAGCUUUGUCCUCCGCACGUUUUAGGAGCUUUGUCCUCCGCACGAUAAAAGUAUAUUAAUACUUAUGAUGACGAUUGGUACCACAUGCAUAUAAGUGUCUAAGUUGCAUUAUCGCAUAUGUCGAGUCAAGGUCGUUGUUGAUGAAUUAUCAUCCAUGAGUUGUUAAGUUGUCGAUGAAUUAUCAUCCAUGAGUUUGUCGAGUUGUGUUCUACCCAUGUGUUGUUGAAGAAGUACCUAUGAAGAUUAUACGAUGUGAAUUAUAUGAUGUUGACCAAAAUAUUGCUAUGUUGUUUAACAUGUUGAUUAUGAUAUUGUUAUGUUGCUACGUUGUUUAAGAUAUUGAUUAUGAUAUUGUUAUGUUGCUAUGUUGUUUAACAUGUUGAUUAUGAUACUGUUAUGUUGCUACAUUGUUUAAGAUAAUGAUUAUGAUAUUGUUAAGUUGUUAUGAUGUUGUGUAUAAUUGUUACUAUUAAGUGAUGAAUAUGUUGUUCUAUAUAUGAUUAAUAUUAUUAAGUGAAUAUUAUGUUAUGUUAUUGAUGAUGAUCGAAUGUUGUGAUUACUUGGUAAUUGUUUAUCAAAGAUGCUAUGAUGUUUAAGAUGAUAUUGUUUAAGAUGUUUAUGUUGAAGAUUUAUGAUGUUGAUUUUGGUGUUAGUAUGUGUUGAUUAUAUUUUCAUAAGAUGAUGAAUACGUUGUUGUUAUAUUAAUACGUUGUUGUUAUAUUAAUACAAGAAGAUGAAUAUGUUGUUGUUAUAUUAUUAUAUUAUGAAGAGAUGAUGUAUAUAUAAUUAUUAUUAUUAUUAAGUGAAUAUCAUGCUAUGUUGUUGUUAUAUUAUUAUAUUAUGAAGAGAUGAUGUAUAUAUAAUUAUUAUUAUUAUUAAGUGAAUAUCAUGCUAUGUUGUUGUUAUAUUAUUAUAUUAUGAAGAGAUGAUGUAUAUAUAAUUAUUAUUAUUAUUAAGUGAAUAUCAUGCUAUGUUGUUGUUAUAUUAUUAUAUUAUGACGAGAUGAUGUAUAUAUAAUUAUUAUUAUUAUUAAGUGAAUAUCAUGUUACGUUGUUGUUAUAUUAUUAUAAGAAGAUGUUUAUGUUAUGAUGUAGAUAAUUAUUACUAUUAAUAAGAGAUGAUUAUAUUGUGUUGUUUUAAAGUUAUUAGUGAUGAUGAUUACAUGAUGAUAUCUAUGAGUUGUUAAGUGUACUUGAUGAUGUUUAUGUUAUAUUGAUAAGUUGUCUUUUAUUAAUGAAUUGAUAAUGAGAUGUUUGAUGAAUAAUUAUUAUUAUGAAUUAAUGAUGUUGUUAUGCUAUAUAUGAACUAUGACUAUGAUGUGAUGAUCUAUGUUUGUUACGAUUUGGUUAAUAUGUGUUAAAUGAUAAUUAGAAGUUGGUUGAGUUAUUAAGAAUUAUUACAUGAAGAAUUAUUAUUACUAAUAGAUGAAGUUAUUUGUGUUGUUAAAUAUAAUUAUUGAAUUAUAUGCUUGAUAUUAUUGUUUUGUGAAAUCUCACCCCUUCAGCUUGAAAAUGUUGCUCUUCGUAUGAGUAACUUGCAGGUAUUAAUGAUUAGUAGGAGUGAUGGCUCAAGUGUCUUUAGGUGCUCUGAUACGUAACGGGAUGGGAAUUUGUUAUUGCUUUCUAUUCCUUACGUAUUGUUUCUGAAGAGUUAUGACUAUGUUUUUAGAAUGUAUUUUUAUGACAUAACUGUAAAGAGGCUUUAGUGCCAAAGACUGUUUUGAUUAUUGAAUAAUUUCCGCUGCGAAGUAUUAAAGAUUUUUUAGUUAUUGAAUUUUAAAGGAUAAAUAGUUAUUUAUACAGUUUAUGAUUUUAAGAAAAGAAUGUGACAUUCCGUUUAGGUGAAUUACUCUGAUUAAAUAAAUGAAAUUUUCGCGUUGGAAAAACGGGGUGUUACACUUGGACUGGUACGCAGACGAUGCACGAAGGAUCGCUUGAUUAGAGGUAUAUUUUUGAGGACGAAAAUUCUUAAGUUGGGGAGAGUUGUAUCGCCCGAAUUUUAUUUAAUUAUUAUUGGUCGAUUGAAAGUCUUUUUAUAUAUGAUUUUAUAUUAUUAUGUGGUGUGUUAUAUUUUAUUAAAUGAGUUAUGUUACUAUUUAAUAGAAUAAGUGGGAAUUUAGAAUAUUUGGAGUUCAAGGGGCUGAUUUAGAAAUAAGGAGAAUUGAGGGGGAUUAAGUGGGAAUAGAAAAAGUUGGAUUAGGUUUAGAAAGGAAACUAGAAAGGGAGAAUUAGUCAGAAAAACAUUUUCACGUGGAAGCAGCUUUUGGGAGAAAAACCAAGAGGGAGCCAAGAGUAUCCAAGAGAAGAUCGUGUAGAGCUUUGUUCAUCAAUCUAAGGUAAAGGUGGGACUAUCAUUCAGUGAUCUUAAGUCUAUAAUUCUGAAAUUGGAUUUAUCAUGUAAGUUGUUCUUGAUUUGAGAAUUUGAGAAUUAGGGUUAAAAGUGAUAAUUUGGUGAUUAGAUGUUGAAAACGUGUUGAAUUAAUGUAGAAACUGUGUACAUACCUUAGAUAAUGCAUAGGAUGAUGAUUUGAAUCAGUUUUAAGGAUAGAACUAUGGGAUUGGGUGAUUUUUAUGAAAAUCUGCGUUUCUGCCCGAGCUGAGAUUCAUCGCUCGCCCUCGCGAGCAACAAGCCUCGCCUCGCGAGUGAACCCAGAUGUUGCUCGCCACUGCGAGCAAGACACUCGCCAUAGCGAGUUGACCAGUGAGGUCAUCAUGAUUUUGUGAAUUAACGUUGUUGGUCAAGUCUUAGAUGGUUUUGAGUGCCGGAAUGUGUAUAAGAAUGAUUAGGCAGUUUUUAGAAUGAAAUUCAUUAUGGAGAAGUUAAAAAUGAGAUUUUUUGUGUGAAAAAGGUGAAGUUCCCGAGAGCACCCUGAUUUUAUUCGCCAAGGCGAGUAGCUGGUUCGCCAAAGCGAACAGCCAACUUUUGUGAACUCGCCAUAGCGAGUAGAGGCGCUCGCCUCGCGAGCCUUUGAGUGUCAGACAACAUUGUUUAGGGUUUUUGCGAUCUUUGUCGCACGAGAUACUAUGAGAUGAUCCUUGGGUUAAGAUAAAGAAUUAUUAAAAUAUUGUUGAUGUUCAGUGAGUCUGAUAUAAGAUGGUUGAGGGUGUUAAUAUUAUGGUAAAUUUGCCAAUGCAUUAUGUGGAUUAUGUAUGAUGUUUAAGUAGUGUUGAUUAUCAUUUGGUAUUGUCAUCUUUUGGGAUGUCUAUGUGCUACUAGUGUUGUUGUUGGAUCUUAAUUAAGAUGUAAAUGUUGGUCUAAAUUGUAAGCGUUGUUGGGUUGUAAGUUGCCGAAUAAGUCAUAAGUAAGUUAUGCAAAUUGUCGAUGUUGUCAUCAUCGUUGGUGUUGUUGUUGAAGUCGUAGUUGUAUCCGUUGUUGGUGAUUGUUUAUGUUAGAUGUUUUUAUAAGAGGUGGUGUACUCUUACUUUGUCGGCUUUAUAAGAGGUGGUGUACUCUUACUUGUCGUUUUUAUAAGAGGUGGUGUACUCUUACUUUAUCGUUUUUAUAAGAGGUGGUGUACUCUUACUUGUCGUUUUUAUAAGAGGAGGUGUACUCUUACUUUAUCGUUUUUAUAAGAGGUGGUGUACUCUUACUUUGUUGUUGUUUAUAAGAGGUGGUGUACUCUUACAUUGUUUAUGUUGAUGAGUAUGACGAGGUUAUGAUGAUUUUUUAUAGGGUUGAAUGUGAGGUUGUUAUGAUAUUACAUGAUGUUACCUAUGAGUUGUUAAAUGUACUUGAUGAGGGUUAUGUUAAGUUGAUAAGUUGUCUUCUAUUCAUGAGCACUAAGGGGAUGUUAAGAAGAAUUAUUAUUGAGUGUAUAUGAUGAUGUCUAUGUUGUUAACUGUAAUUGAUGAAUUAUAUGCUUAUUAUUAUUGUUUGAGAAAUCUCACCCCUUCUGCUUGGAAAUGUUGCCCUUCGUAUGGAUAACUUGCAGGUAAUUGAAGAUUAGUAGGAGUGGGGGCUCAAGUGUCUAGGGCUCUGAUACGUACGGGAUGAGAUUUCUUAUUGUUUUUCAUUCCUUAUGUAUCACAUUUUUGGAUUAUGCUGAUGUAGCCCUUAUUUGGUUGUUGAAUUAAUUGAUGGGGCAUUUAUGUCAAGACUUUUAUUGAAGAAUUAAUAUGUUGGAUGUUGUGGUUAUUUAAUUUUGAGAAAAUAUUUCCGCUGCAAAAUUGUUGUCGUUUUAUGAAGGAUAUUUUAUUAAAUAGUUUUAUAUUCUAUUUAAGAAAAUUUUGAAAGUAGUGUGACAUGCCCGUUUGAGAUUUACUCUAAUGAUUAUUUAAUAUUUAAUUGCUUUUGGGUAACGGGGUGUUACAAUUGGUAUCAGAGCAGGUUGGUCCGUCCGGCCAAGUAGUAGAGUCGUGUUGAGAGUGUCAACUCUAAACUGUCUUUUGUUAUUCUGAUUGUUGUUUGUGGUUUAGUGUUUUGAGAUGGCUGGGAGAAAUGAUGCUGCUAUUGCUGCUGCACUUGAGGCUGUAGCUCGAGCUGUAGAACAACAUCCACAAGUUGGUGCUGGUAACGACGGAGUAAGAAUGUUGGAGACUUUCUUGAGGAAUCAUCCACCAACAUUCAAGGGAAGGUACGACCCUGAUGGAGCUCAGAAGUGGCUCAAAGAAACUGAGAGGAUCUUCAGAGUGAUGCAGUGUAGUGAGGUGCAGAAGGUGCGGUUCGGCACGCACAUGGUAGCUGAGGAAGCUGAUGACUGGUGGGUUAGUCUUCUACCUGUCCUAGAGCAAGAUGGUGUUGUUAUUACUUGGGCUGUAUUUAGGAGAGAAUUUUUGAGUAGAUACUUUCUGGACGAUGUCCGAGGUAAGAAAGAAAUAGAAUUUCUAGAGCUGAAGCAAGGAGAUAUGUCAGUAACGGAGUAUACUGCAAGGUUUGUGGAGCUUGCUAAGUUUUAUCCACAUUACACCGCGGAGACAGCUGAGUUCUCCAAGUGUAUCAAAUUCGAGAAUGGCUUGAGAGCUAACAUCAAGAAAGCCAUUGGUUAUCAGAAGAUUAUAAACUUUUUUAAUUUGGUGAGUAGCUGAAGGAUUUAUGAGGAUGAUACCAAAGCCCAUUAUAAGGCUAGGGGUGAGCGGAUGAAUAAGGAUAAGAAUCGUUCUAAGCCGUACAGUACCCCGGGUUAACUUAGGUUGAAUGACGAGAGGAGGCCCAAGAGGGAAGAGACUCUUGUUGAAAUAGUUUGUUACAGAUGUGGUGAGAAAGGUCACAAGAGUAACACUUGUGCUGGUAAAGUGAAACGGUGUUUCCGUUGCGGUGAAAAGGGUCAUACUGAGGUAGAUUGCAAUCAUGAUGAUGUAGUUUGCUAUAACUGCAAGGAAGAAGGUCAUAUUAGUUCGCAGUGCAAGAAGCCUAAGAAGGCCCAGACUGGUGUGAAGGUUUUUGCUUUGACUGGUACGCAGACAAUGCACGAAGGAUCGCUUGAUUAGAGGUAUAUUUUCAAGGACGAAAAUUCUUAAGUUGGGGAGAGUUGUAACGCCCCAAUUUUAUUUAAUUAUUAUUGGUCGAUUUAACGUCUUUUUAUAUAUGAUUUUAUAUUAUUAUGUGGUGUGUUAUAUUUUAUUAAAUGAGUUAUGUUACUAUUUAAUAGAAUAAGUGGGAAUUUAGAAUAUUUGGAGUUCAAGGGGCUGAUUUAGAAAUAAAGAGAAUUGAGGGGGAUUAAGUGGGAAUAGAAAAAGUUGGAUUAGGUUUAGAAAGGAAACUGGAAAGGGAGAAUUAGUCAGAAAAACAUUUUCACGUGGAAGCAGCUUUUGGGAGAAAAACCAAGAGGGAGCCAAGAGUAUCCAAGAGAAGAUCGUGUAGAGCUUUGUUCACCAAUCUAAGCUAAGGGUGGGACUAUCAUUCAGUGAUCUUAAGUCUAUAAUUCUGAAAUUGGAUUUAACAAGUAAGUUGUUCUUGAUUUGAGAAUUUGAGAAUUAGGGUUAAAAGUGAUAAUUUGGUGAUUAGAUGGUGAAAACGUGUUGAAUUAAUGUAGAAACUGUGUACAUGAAGUUGAAGUAAAUGUCACUAGAAGGGGGGGUUGAAUAGUGACCCUUUAAAAAUUUCUUUGUACUCUUAGAGAGUUUGAACUCUCAAGACUUUGCUUGGAGUAGGUUGAUUAGUAAAACAAUAAAUAAAUAUGUAAUACUAAAAUAAACAAAGCAGAAAGUAAAGAGUAGAGUUUAAGAGAGAUCACACAGAGAAGUUAUCCUGGUUCCCCCAAUAUGGGUUAGUCCAGUCCCCACAGCUUUUGUGAGAUUAUCCACUAAUUCUUGGGAGUUUCUUCCUCCUCUUUGCAAUGUGCAAAAUAAUAUGUAUUCUCUAAGCCUCACCAGGCUUACACUGACUCUCGAGCUCUCUCUGAGCUUGAGGCUAAAACAACUAUGUAUUCUCUAAGCCUCACCAGGCUUACACCACUGAUAUUAUUAGCUUCAGCAGGCUUACAGUAUCACUCAAGAUUUUACAGGCUUGAUGAUAUACAAUCAAAAUGUGAUUUGAUGUUUGGAUCUAAUUACAACUUUCAAACUUAAGAGAAUGAGAGAUUGUAGUUUGUAAUACUCUUAGAAAGAUGAUCCGAAAAUCUGAUUUGGUUCUGUAAGAGUAUUUCUGAUAUUGAGAUUGAUUGAUGAAUUUAUUGCUUGUAAGUAGGCUUGUGAUUGUAUUGGAAAUUCAUGCUUUCUUUGUUGAGAGAAAGCUUCUAUUUAUAGCCAUCCUUCAUCCUUCAAUAUCUGCAACUGUUCAUUCUUGUGUAGACGCCCUUGCUGUUGAUAGGAAUUGCAAAACUGCCAUUGUCCCAUCUUUUGUACGUUGAGUUUUGAGCUUGCCAGCCUCGGCCUCAACUUUUAAUACUAAGAGCUUGAGCUCGAGCUUGAGCUUGAAAUGGACCAGGAGCGUGUGUGAACAGUGAAAAGUACAUGAACAGUGAAAAUAUAUUUUCUUUUUACUACUGUUUGUAUCUUGUUCUCCAAGAUGCAUCAUUGUCAUUGUCCUUGCAAAGCUUUGUCUCCAAGAUACCAUUUAUAAAUUAUAUUUCCAUACUUGGUCACCAAGUCAUUGUACUUUAUGUCUUUUUGCUUGCUUGCUCAUCAAGAUACAUAAUAGGGCUUAUGUCAUCAUGCUUAUGUCAUCAUGCCUUUCUUUUCCAAAUGAUUAGCACAUGAUUGAAAGGCAAUUUUCCCUUGCAUUUGCGCAUGGUUCUCUUUGUGAAGCUUUCUUGGAUUAAAUCAUUUAAUUACCCUUUAAUAGUGAACACAUAUUCUUCUUGAGAGCUUGACCUUGAAACUCCAAUGAUACAUGGCUUUAACAAUGUGUGAGAAUUGGACUUUCUUAUCCUUAACAAAAUUCACUCAAGAGCACACAUUAAAUAACAAAAUAACAUUAUAAUCUUAAUUUUAAUACAAGAGUUUGUUUAUCAUUUAAAAACAAGUUCAAAGGGAUUUUUGCUUCAACAGUACAGACCUUAGAUAAUGCAUAAGAUGAUGAUUUGAAUCAGUUUUAAGGAUAGAACCAUGGGAUUGGGUGAUUUUUAUGAAAAUCUGCGUUUCUGCCCGAGCUGAGAUUCAUCGCUCGCCCUCGCGAGCAACAAGCCUCGCCUCGCGAGGGAUGAUCUUCAUCGCUCGCUUCGCGAGCCGUUUUCUCUCGCCUCGCGAGUGAACCCAGAUGUUGCUGGCCACUGCGAGCAAGACACUCGCCAUAGCGAGUUGACCAGUGAGGUCAUCAUGAUUUUGUGAAUUAACGUUGUUGGUCAAGUCUUAGAUGGUUAUGAGUGCCGGAAUGUGUAUAAGAAUGAUUAGGCAGUUUUUAGAAUGAAAUUCAUUAUGGAGAAGUUAAAAAUGAGAUUUUUUGUGUGAAAAAGGUGAAGUUCCCGAGAGCACCCUGAUUUUAUUCGCCAAGGCGAGUAGCUGGUUCGCCAAAGCGAACAGCCAACUUUUGUGAACUCGCCAUAGCGAGUAGAGGCGCUCGCCUCGCGAGCCUUUGAAUGUCAGACAACCUUGUUUAGGGUUUUUGCGAUCUUUGUCGCACGAGAUACUAUGAGAUGAUCCUUGGGUUAAGAUAAAGAAUUAUUAAAAUAUUGUUGAUGUUCAGUGAGUCUGAUAUAAGAUGGUUGAGGGUGUUAAUAUUAUGGUAAAUUUGCCAAUGCAUUAUGUGGAUUAUGUAUGAUGUUUAAGUAGUGUUGAUUAUCAUUUGGUAUUGUCAUCUUUUGGGAUGUCUAUGUGCUACUAGAGUUGCUAUUGGAUCUUAAUUAAGAUGUAAAUGUUGGUCUAAAUUGUAAGCGUUGUUGGGUUGUAAGUUGCCGAAUAAGUCAUAAGUAAGUUAUGCAAAUUGUCGAUGUUGUCAUCAUCGUUGGUGUUGUUGUUGAAGUCGUAGUUGUAUCCGUUGUUGGUGAUUGUUUAUGUUAGAUGUUUUUAUAAGAGGUGGUGUACUCUUACUUUGUCGGCUUUAUAAGAGGAGGUGUACUCUUACUUGUCAUUUUUAUAAGAGGUGGUGUACUCUUACUUUAUCGUUUUUAUAAGAGGUGGUGUACUCUUACUUGUCGUUUUUAUAAGAGGAGGUGUACUCUUACUUUAUCGUUUUUAUAAGAGGUGGUGUACUCUUACUUUGUUGUUGUUUAUAAGAGGUGGUGUACUCUUACAUUGUUUAUGUUGAUGAGUAUGACGAGGUUAUGAUGAUAUUUUAUAGGGUUGAAUGUGAGGUUGUUAUGAUAUUACAUGAUGUUACCUAUGAGUUGUUAAAUGUACUUGAUGAGGGUUAUGUUAAGUUGAUAAGUUGUCUUCUAUUCAUGAGCACUAAGGGGAUGUUAAGAAGAAUUAUUAUUGAGUGUAUAUGAUGAUGUCUAUGUUGUUAACUGUAAUUGAUGAAUUAUAUGCUUAUUAUUAUUGUUUGAGAAAUCUCACCCCUUCUGCUUGGAAAUGUUGCCCUUCGUAUGGAUAACUUGCAGGUAAUUGAAGAUUAGUAGGAGUGGGGGCUCAAGUGUCUAGGGCUCUGAUACGUACGGGGUGGGAUUUCUUAUUGUUUUUCAUUCCUUCUGUAUCACAUUUUUGGAUUAUGCUGAUGUAGCCCUUAUUUGGUUGUGGUUAUUUAAUUUUGAGAAAAUAUUUCCGCUGUAAAAUUGUUGUCGUUUUAUGAAGGAUAUUUUAUUAAAUAGUUUUAUAUUCUAUUUAAGAAAAUUUUGAAAGUAGUGUGACAUGCCCGUUUGAGAUUUACUCUGAUGAUUAUUUAAUAUUUAAUUGCUUUUGGGUAACGGGGUGUUACAAUUGGUAUCAGAGCAGGUUGGUCCGUCCGGCCAACUAGUAGAGUCGUGUUGAGAGUGUCAACUCUAAACUGUCUUUUGUUAUUCUGAUUGUUGUUUGUGGUGUAGUGUUUUGAGAUGGCUGGGAGAAAUGAUGCUGCUAUUGCUGCUGCACUUGAGGCUGUAGCUCGAGCUGUAGAACAACAUCCACAAGUGGGUGCUGGUAACGACGGAGUAAGAAUGUUGGAGACUUUCUUGAGGAAUCAUCCACCAACAUUCAAGGGAAGGUACGACCCUGAUGGAGCUCAGAAGUGGCUCAAAGAAACUGAGAGGAUCUUCAGAGUGAUGCAGUGUAGUGAGUGAAGUAGAUAAAAUAGUCACAAGGAAGGGGGGGUUUGAAUUGUGACCCUUUAAAAAUUAACCUGAAACUUAAAAGUGAUUCUCAAGUAGUUUACUUGGAAUAGUUAAGUUAAUAUUCUGACUUCAGAACGUUCUGAAGUUCAUACACAUAAACAGUUUAAUAAAGUAAAUGUGUAAGUGUGUGUUGUGUAUACUGUAAUUAAAGAGUAUAGGGAAGAGAGAAAGAACACACAGAAAUUUAUAGUGGUUCACCCAAUGUGGGUUAGUCCACUCCUCACAAUCUUGUGAGAGUUUCCACUAUGAUGCUUGAGAUAACCUCUCAAAUCCUGCACCUUACAAUCUUGUUCACCUGAACAAUUACAAUCCUGUAUUCUCUAAGCCUCAGCAGGCUUGCACCUUCUUGCUAAGUUAACCACUUAGACUUUUACAACCUUUGCUCAACCUAACACUUUAGGACCUCUAAAAGUUAGAUGAGACUUUGUUACAAUUUGUAUGGAGCUUGAAUGAAUGAAAUCAGACAAGAGAAGAAAGGAAGGAAGUGUUAUCUUUAAAGAGAUAACAGAAAGAAUUGAUUUACACUACAAGAAGAUAUUAAAGAAUCUUCAGUGAUGAUCAAUUCAGAUGCUAAAGCUUCAAAACAACCUCAAGUUGUUUUUCUUGUAUGCUUUUCAAUUUGUGUGGAGUUUGAAUGUUUGAGAAUCAAACAGAGGAGGAGGAGGAAGAAAGUUAUCUUUGCAUGAGAUAACAAAGAGUAUUGAUGUGCACUAAGGAAACAAGAGCCUUAGAGAUUGAUCAAUUUCAAUUGCAAGAGCUUCAAACAAAAUCAAGUUGUUUUCUUGUGUGCUUUGCAAUGGUGCAAGUUUUGCUAAGGCCAAGCCCUCUAUUUAUAGAGUCCUUGGGCUCAUAUAGCCGUUGUAGGGUGUCCAAUGGUGUUAUGCCAUGUGUCCUGGGUCCCACAAGCUUUAACUUGAAAUUCUGGGCAAACAUUCUGAUCUCUGAUGAACAUCAGAAUGUUGUUGUGUUCAUGAUGAUCUUCAUCUGGGUUCAUCACGUUCUUCAUCUGGGUUCAUCAUGUAUGAAUGAACACAUGAAGUUCUGGGCUAUGCAUAUGCUUUUCAUAUGAAUUUCUGGACAAUAACCAAUGUAUGGACUUUUCUUCAUACAUCAGAAUGUUCCUUUCCCAGAUUUUGUCUUGGAACCGGUGCAGGAGGAUUUAGUGGGAUUCUGCAUCUUCAUGCCCAUGCUUUGAGAGAUUGUGUUGUCCUUGUUCAGUACCAACUCUCAGACGUGUCUAUCUCUUGUUGAAGAUGAUAGAUUUGCUUUGCUUUUGCUUUUUGCUUUUCACCUACUAUACUGUUCAUAAAGUAAGCAUGAGCUGAGCUUGAACAUUCUGAUCAUCAGAAUGUUCCAUCUGUUUCACAUAGGAUGAUUUGUAAGACUAUCAUUUGAUGUAAUCAAAUCCUAAUAGUGAAACAGUAAUGAAGAGCAGUGAUAAUAACAUCUAGGAUGAUAUUCCUUUGUGAAAUAUUCCUAGUACAUCAAUGUUCAUAGUCUUAAAUGAACAUUGAAUGCCUUCUUUGACAUAACUCUUGUAUAUGCCUUUAUUGCUUGAUUGAUCCAUGCAAAUGUACUUUCCUGGACAUAUAUUCAUGUCACAUGUGCCUUGCAUGAUCUUGAUCACAGUUCUUGAGAUUCUUGGCUUGUAUAAGAACAACCUUCUGAACUGGAUUGCUUCUGAACAACCUUCUGAACUAGGUUGCUUCUGAACUGGUUGCUUCUGAACUUGGUUGCUUCUGAACUUGGUUGCUUCUGAACAUUCUGAUCUUCGAGCAACAUUCUGAUCUAACUUUCUGACCUCAGUGUUAGAUCAUGAAUUCAAAUGUCCUUUGAUUUCUUGAUUCUUGGUAUGAUUCAAACCUUGUUCCUGUCUUAGUAAAACACUCAAGAGCACAAGUUAAAUACCAAGAAAUUAAUCAAAGUCCAUUAAUUCUUUAUUCAUAUUUGUUUAUUAUCUUUAAAAUUAAUUAGGGAUUUUGCCUCAACAAUCUCCCCCUUUUUGAAGAUGAUAAACUUAUGAUUUAGGAUUAAGGAUUUUGAUUAUAUAACAGAGCUAAAAAAUUUAUUUUAAUGUUCCCCCUCAUUUUUAUAAUCCAUUAUGCAGAGUUUUUAAGAACUUUAAAAAGCUCCCCCUCAAUUUCAUAAUCUUUUGCAUAAAGUAAAAAUAUGCAAGACUGAACCAAAUUCAAUAUUUGAUAUAACAUGAAGUACAUUACAUGAAAAGAUGGUUCAAAAACAAAAAAGAAAAUCAAAGUGCAUGUGAUCAAGAAAAGCAAAAGAUGGAAUUUAUAAAUUCCAAUAUCAAUUGAUCACCUAGACCUACUUAGGGCCUAUAACUAAAAAAAACUUAAAGACUUUGAAUCCUAAAGCUUCUCCCCCUUUUGUCAUCUGCAAAAUGGAUAGGGAUGAUUUCUGAAAAGAUUCAUGGAGUGGAGUCUCCAGAAUCAGAAGAGGGUUCUGCUUCAAAGAUGGAGGGGUCAUCAAAUACUGGAGGUGGAAUGGCCAAACCAGGAGCAUGGACUUUGACAGUCCAGUCAGCCAGCACACAAGCAAUUUUGUGGGUCUUGGUGGAGACUCUAAGUGCCCUUGAGGCUAUCUUCUCUGCUCUUGAAGGCUUAGCAGGUUCAGCAGGACCAGAGGCUUCAGCUUGCUCUCUGUUUGCAGACACAAAGGUGUUGAGAGAGUCAAAUAAAGCAGCCAUGUUUGGAAGUUUGCUUCUUGUGGUGGUCUUCAUUUGUGGUGGUGGUGGAGUGGAUGAAGGAAUGAAAGGUGGAGUAGGAAGGUCAGAGACCAAGAAGUUGGUAGCACCUGCAACAGAAUCCAUGGUGGAGGAUGAUGGGUUAACAUUCUGACCAUUUUGGGCCAUGAGCUGUACCUCCUCAGAGGGCAGAGAUCCUGAUGCCAAAGGCAUGGGAUCAACUGACAGCUGGCCAUCUGGAGGAAGUUCAUUUGAGGCAUGCUGAUCAUCAAGCUCUUGAUUGUCUUGAUCAGCCAUGACAUGAAUAUCUUCAUCAUUCUGGGCUUCAGUUACUGCAACAUUCUGACGGGCAGAAGUUUCAACCUUCUGAACAUUCUGAACAGCAGGAAUUUCAACAUUCUGACCUUCUUGAGCUUGCUGAGUUGUUUCUUGUCCAUCUUGAAACACUUCACUAUUGAAGUCAGUGUUGAUAUCUUCAAUAUUGAGAUCAAAUCCAGUUGAGAACUCCACAUCUUGAGCUUCUUCUUCAAUGUUCAUAUUUGAAGCUAAGAGCUCAGCCACUUCCUGAGUUUCUCCAUCAACAUUCUGAGUACCAAACUCAGUAUUUUCUUCAACUCUUUGAUCAUCAGGAUUGGAAGCAGCAUCUUGAGGGAUUUCUUCACUUUCCUCAGCUUGAUUGACUUUCUCAGCUUCUUUUUGAAGAGAUGCAUCAUCAACCUUCUGAGCAUCAUCUUCUCCAAUCAAGGUUUUGAACUGCGAGCUUCCUUCUUCAACAAUCUCCUUUGCAAGCUUGGAGACUUCAGAGAACAAAUUUUCUGCUGGUGGAGAGGGAGUUUUGGUAUCUGUAAUCUCUUCAACCCUUCUUUUCUUCACAGCUUUCUGAACAUUCUGAUCAGAAUUUCUUUUACCAGAUCCAGAGGGUCCAGAAGUUUUGGAGGCUGGCAUGUUGGAUGAAGUAAUAUGGAGUUGACCUAAGGUCUUGGAAGAAAAGGUCAUAAAAUCCAGCUUGCGUUUCUCUCCUUCAAGGGGCACUUUUGCCUUUUGAAAAAUGGAAGUGAGAUGCAUUCCAUAGGGUAGUCCAGCAGAUGUUUGUUUUAUGGCUAGGCAUGAAUCAAUCAUGUGUUGAAUAAUGAUAAAACACAGAUUUAACUUAAUCUUUUUCAUGAGAUGGUAGAUGAAACAAAGAUCUAUGUCAGAGACAAGUUCAAAAGAUCCACAUCUAGGUAAAAGACAAUGCCUAAUCAUGUUGUGAAGAAUUUUGGGAGUAUCUUCCAGGUUUGUGGAGUUAAAGGUGUGAUUUUCUUUGGUGUAUUUAACUAUGAGUUUGUUACGGUUAACUCUAGACUCAUCAAACCAGAAGCUAGAGUAUAGCUGAUUACCUUCAUUUGGAAUUUUGAAUGCUUCAGAGACAAAUUCCUGAGUCAUCUUGAUCUUUACACCUUUGACUGAUGAUAUGAGAAACUUCUCAUUUCCAUUCUUCUUUUCCUGAACUGAUAGGUUGGUGUAGAACUCUCUGACCAAGUCUUCAUAGGUGUGUUCUUGAAGAGUUAUGAAGUUGGUCCAUCCUUGAGGUUCAGUGAACUCCUUCAUAUUCCAUGCCUUGGUUUCCAGACUUUCAAGGUUGAAAUACUUGGUUCUGCUCAUAGGUCUGAGAGCAAUUUUCUCAGCCCUAGAUGCUUUUAAGGUAGCAGCAAGUUUGGUAAUAUCUUUACCUUUCCCAUGCUUCUUAGAAGAGCCUUGCUCUUCUUCUUUUUCAGCCUUUUCUUCAGAUUCUUCCUCUUCACUUUCUUCUUCAUCUUCAGAGGUCUUUUCCUCAGAUAAGGGCAUAGCUUCAGCAGCAAUCUCCUUCCUCCUUUGAAGUAUUUUCUUUGUAAGUUCCUUAUCCCUUUUUGAGGAAGCUUUUACUGAUUUCAUUGCGUCAGAAAGAGUUUGUUCAGAGUCUUCAUCCUCUUCUUCUGGAUCUUCCUCUGUUUCAUCCUCAGAGUCUUCAUCAUCACUUGAAUCUUCUUUUUCUUCGUCAGAAUCUAGAUUCACGUGAGAUACCUUUGGUUUCUUCAAAGGUUUCUUCAUCCUUGUUGAUCGUCUGGUAGGUAUUGGUCUGGGUUUGAUGAUGGGUUUCUUAGAGGAUCUGGUUUUGGAAGAUUUGGGAUUUUCAGAAGCAGGAAUGAUUACGUCCUGAAGAAUGGUGCGUACAGGGGUUUCACUCAAAAGUUGUUGAUCAGAGGUUUGAUCAGCAGCAGUGUUGGAUGGUGGUGGUUGACAAUGUUCUUCAGAAAGUCUUGGGGUAGUUUUGGUUCUAGCCAUUUUUUCAGAAAAUGAAGAACAGAGCAGUUUGAAUUUUUUUGCGAGGAGAGAGAUGAGAGGUUAGGAAAUGAGAUGGAAGUGAAAUAAUCAGAGUUGGUAACUGAUUAUAUAGACAAAACGUGCAAGAGAAAAAGAAUAGUAGUGAUAUGAUGACAGUUAGCAUUGGGAAGGAUGAAAAACUGUCAAAAAGCAACGCCUUGGAGAGAGAAAGGAAAAAGUAGCCGUUUGGGAAGAUGAAUGGAUUUGGGAUGAUUUGAUGGUUAAGCCAUUUCAUGGUGGUUAAACCUUAAACAUGACUUCUUAUAACCAAGCAUUAAAUGCUUAAGAUUAUGGAGGGAUUUUUUGAAUAAGUCAAAACAAGAUCUCACGCAUGAGAUUGUUUGACCCAGAAUUUGGGUUCUAAAAAAAAGUUUCAAGAACAUCAUGAAUGGAUAAACUCAGAUGAACAAACUUGUGAAUGUUCUGAUCGUAUGAAUAUUGCAAUGAACAUUCUGAUCAUUUGAACAUUCUGACCUGAUGAACAUUCUGAGCUCAGGAACAUUCUGAACUCAGGAACAUUCUGAUGAGUGUGGGAUUGAGAUGGAUCUAUCUGAUUUGUAUCAGAUGACAUCAAAGGGUUUAGUUUAAGGCCCUUAGUGAUCAGUAAUCAAUCUUUAUUGGGAUUUUUCAUGAUUAACAAUUUUUCUUUAAGAAAAUUGAAUCUAUCCUCAACAAGGGGUUUUGUGAAAAUGUCAGCCAAUUGAUUUUCAGUAUCAACAAAGCUUAAUGCAAUAUUCUUUUUCUGAACAUGGUCUCUAAUGAAAUGAUGUUUUAUUUCAAUAUGUUUAGACCUAGAAUGCUGAAUAGGAUUCUUAGAAAGAUUAAUUGCACUUGUAUUAUCACAAUAAAUAGGAACACUUGUGUACCUUAGAGAGUAAUCUUCCAGCUGAUUUCUUACCCAUAAAAUUUGAGAGCAGCAACUAGCUGCAGAUACAUACUCAGCUUCAGUUGUGGAGAGUGCAAUGGUGUUUUGCUUUCUGCAAGACCAUCCAAUCAAUGCUUGUCCCAAGAAUUGACAGGAUCCACUUGUGCUCUUCCUUUCAACUUUGUCUCCAGCAUAAUCAGCAUCCAAUAAGCUACAAGAUCAAAGCUAGAACCUUUUCUAUACCAAAGGCCAAGAUCAGUAGUACCUACUAGAUAUCUAAAAAUCCUUUUAACUGCAGUUAAAUAUGAUUCUUUUGCACAUGUUUGAAAUCUAGCACAUAUUGACAUGCCAUUGAUGUUUACAACUCUAUCUUUGUCUUCAAUUUUUGUAAUUAAAGUAAGAUAAUUAUUCAACAAUGCUUAAAACAACCUUUUAUGCUCAAAGCAGGGCCAAUAUAAGUGUAAGAACAAAAUAUGCAGACCUUAGAGCAAUUUUUGAAGAUUAUAACAAGAUCACAUACAACAUCAUAAUGAAGAUCAAGUAUAUAAAAAAGCUUCUAAUGAUAAAUUCAAACAUAAGAUUCAUUUAAAAUCAUGUUUGAUGAAUGAUAUUUUCUUAAACCAUAUCAAAGUUAAGUGAAAUCUUCACGUUUCAGAUUAUUCUGAAGUUUAACAAAUUAAGACAUUUUUAUGUUUCAUAUCAAUGAACAAUCAUGAUUUAACAUUUAUGAUCAAACAUAAAUCUUCCUAUGAAUUAUUUAACAACAAUGAUGAAUUAGUUUCCAUCUCAUGUCAAUAACUCGGAUAGAAAUGCUUAAGAGUAAUUUAUUUCAAAUGUGAAGAGAUAAGUAUUACAAAAUGAUGUAACACAUUUAACAUGAUAGUUAAGAAAGAAUUUUGGGGCAAAUAAUGAGAGAAUAUUAUGCAUGAAUUUAUACAUAAUAGAAACAACCCAUUGUUCAAUUAUAAGAACAUUAAUUCAUUUUCAAUGCACCCUUAAUAUAUCUUGUUAAAGCAUAAGACAUCAUACAAUGAUUUCAAUCAUCAAUUAUGACGUGUGCAGUUGUAAAUGAGUAUAAUACCAUCAUGAAAGGAGUAUGAACAAAGUAUGAAACACUUAUUUGCAUUUAAGUUCAAACAUUUGAUAUAUGCACAUAUUAGAUAUGACAGAAUUUGAUGCAUUCAAUCAUCAUAUUUAUUAUAGUGCAAAUAAAUGUGUACCUUAUGCGAUGAUAUCCCUCACUUUGAGAUUCAAUGAAGAGAGCAUGUUUCUCUUUCUUUGAAAUACUUUCUCGUCUGGAUGGAGAAGUCCAAGCAUCAAUAAGAAAAACCUUCUGAAGCAAUUUAAUCAUCAGUAGCUUUCUCUUCUUCUUAGUCUUUUCAGCUUUCUGAUAUAAGUGUCUUUUAACAUAUUCAGAAGUUCUAGGAUUUGCAGACAUAUGAUCAACAUAUGGAAUGCUUUGUUCAUGAAGAAUGUUUACUUGAACAUUCUGAACUUGAUUUGAAGGAAUUGUUCCAUCAUUUUCAUCUGAGAAUCCUCAAAGACACUUGCAUUGAAGUCUGGGCUGAAUUCCUCCGCAUUCAGUUCAAAACCAUCUUGAUUUCAAGCUAGCUCAGCUUCAUCAGAUUCCUUUGUGGUAGUGUUUCCACUAAGCAUGUGUGUGGCUAGAACUUUAGCAACAUCAUACAUAUCAUGAUCUUUUAAUGACAGAGGGUCAUUUCCCAUAUCAGAUUCUAGAACAAUUUCUUGUUCAUCAAACUGAAGUUUACUCAUGAUGUUUGUAACAUCACUUCAGAUUUUGAAAUUGUUUCAGCAGUAGAAGAUUUAAAGGAUCCUUCUCCAAUAAAAGCUUUCAGCUUUGUUAGCUUUUUGAGUUACUUUUUCAAAAGCUUUUUCAAUUUCAUUAACCUUCUGAAGUUGUUAUAUAGGAACUUCAUCAACUUUUUGAGUUCUAUCUUUUAGUAGCUGCAUCAACUUUUCUGAAUUCAUGUUUCAGUAGUUGCAUCAGCUUCCUGAACCUUAUUGGCUGCAAUCUCAAUAUUUGAGGUAUUGCUUCAACUUGCUGACUUUCAUUCUCAACAACAUUAACUUCCUUUUGAAGUUCUUCAACAUUCUGAACUUCAUCAGCUUUCUGAACAACUUUGUUAGCAACGUCAGAAGCUUUUUGGAAGGUUUCUCCAGGGAUGUCUUGAUCCAUUGUUGGAGGAUAUUGUUGUCAAAUUCUUUUUGUCAAAGAUUAGAUAAUCAUUCUCAUACACUUCACUUUUUCAAAGACAUCUUAAAAUGCUUGAAUGUGAGUGUGAAAGUCAAAUCAUAUAGAAUAUGAGAAGUCUUCUUUGUUCUUCAAUCAUAUGUUGCAGGAUCAUGUAGUUGAGAUUGAAAGACAAUUUUGUUGAAAACAUGAUAUAUGAUACAUGAUCAACAUUAAUGACAUUUUCAAACACUUCCAAAGUUAUUUCUGCCUUGCUUGAACACAGAGGAAUGAACUUUGAAGCUUUCAACUUUUAGGAUUGAAUAGCUUCAGCAUCAGGAGCAUUUUCCUGAACAUUCUGAUACUAGUUGCAAAUUCCAUUUGAACAUCUUCUAGUGAUUGAACAUUUUCUCCACAUAUCAUCUUGGAAGCAAAUAUUUCUGCAUCACAGAUUGGCAAAGCUUUUGGUACCCAUAUUACUUUGGGUCCUUGAAGGUUAGUGUUUCUCUUCUUGAGAGUUUAUUUCUUAUGACCACAUUCUGAUUUAAGAUAAUCAGCUUUGUUGUAAUAAGAACAUUAUGUUUUACCAAUCUCAACCUUUUGAGACCAAUCUAAUUUAGGAUAAAAUGUCUUUUUGAAAUGAGGAUUUUUCUCAAGUUUCUUUUCAUAAAACAAUAUACAGGUUCAGAAUGUUGAAUCCUUUUUCAAAAUGAUCAUUUUUAUUUACCUUCUCACUUUUGUUUAGUAUAACAUAUUUUCAUGAUAAUUUUGUUUGUGAUAGGUUAUGAAUCCUAAACCAGCCUUUUUGAAAGGUCUUAACAGACUUCAUAAAGUUGGUUAUGUCCUUUUUUUUUUAAAUAUUACUUCUCUUUUCAAAAUAACAUUUUAUUUCAAAAGUUCAGACUUUGCUAAAUCUUACAAUUUUUGCUCAUUGAGAAUCUUAUGUUUCUCAAAUAUUUUAAAAUGAGAGUUCUACAACUUUUGAAUGGUUUCAAGAUAUAUCAUUCAAGAUUAGCAGUUUCACAUUUUCUUUCUUUAUACAAGAAAAGUUAUUAUUUUAAAAGUUCAUACUUUUAAGAUAAAAUGCAUGAGUCAUAUGAGAUAAUAGUAAACACUUUAGAAAAGAUAAGGAUCAGAUUUCUUACCUCUUUACUUUAUGUAUUGUCUUUUACUCAUGUGUUGACUUCUUCUUCUUCAAAAUCAUCUCUGAUUGCCAUCUUUGCAUUUUCUUCUUCAGAGGGAUUUUACUUUUCAAAUAUCCCACAUUGUUGCAUAUGUGAUAUGCACUUUGGCUUGCAGGUUUUGACAUUACUUCUUUCUGGAUCUUUUCCUCAUACACUGUUAAGUGCUCAACCCAUAGAGGCAGGCUCUGAUACCAAUUGAAGUAGAUAAAAUAGUCACAAGGAAGGGGGGGUUUGAAUUGUGACCCUUUAAAAAUUAACCUGAAACUUAAAAGUGAUUCUCAAGUAGUUUACUUGGAAUAGUUAAGUUAAUAUUCUGACUUCAGAACGUUCUGAAGUUCAUACACAUAAACAGUUUAAUAAAGUAAAUGUGUAAGUGUGUGUUGUGUAUACUGUAAUUAAAGAGUAUAGGGAAGAGAGAAAGAACACACAGAAAUUUAUAGUGGUUCACCCAAUGUGGGUUAGUCCACUCCUCACAAUCUUGUGAGAGUUUCCACUAUGAUGCUUGAGAUAACCUCUCAAAUCCUGCACCUUACAAUCUUGUUCACCUGAACAAUUACAAUCCUGUAUUCUCUAAGCCUCAGCAGGCUUGCACCUUCUUGCUAAGUUAACCACUUAGACUUUUACAACCUUUGCUCAACCUAACACUUUAGGACCUCUAAAAGUUAGAUGAGACUUUGUUACAAUUUGUAUGGAGCUUGAAUGAAUGAAAUCAGACAAGAGAAGAAAGGAAGGAAGUGUUAUCUUUAAAGAGAUAACAGAAAGAAUUGAUUUACACUACAAGAAGAUAUUAAAGAAUCUUCAGUGAUGAUCAAUUCAGAUGCUAAAGCUUCAAAACAACCUCAAGUUGUUUUUCUUGUAUGCUUUGCAAUUUGUGUGGAGUUUGAAUGUUUGAGAAUCAAACAGAGGAGGAGGAGGAAGAAAGUUAUCUUUGCAUGAGAUAACAAAGAGUAUUGAUGUGCACUAAGGAAACAAGAGCCUUAGAGAUUGAUCAAUUUCAAUUGCAAGAGCUUCAAACAAAAUCAAGUUGUUUUCUUGUGUGCUUUGCAAUGGUGCAAGUUUUGCUAAGGCCAAGCCCUUUAUUUAUAGAGUCCUUGGGCUCAUAUAGCCGUUGUAGGGUGUCCAAUGGUGUUAUGCCAUGUGUCCUGGGUCCCACAAGCUUUAACUUGAAAUUCUGGGCAAACAUUCUGAUCUCUGAUGAACAUCAGAAUGUUGUUGUGUUCAUGAUGAUCUUCAUCUGGGUUCAUCACGUUCUUCAUCUGGGUUCAUCAUGUAUGAAUGAACACAUGAAGUUCUGGGCUAUGCAUAUGCUUUUCAUAUGAAUUUCUGGACAAUAACCAAUGUAUGGACUUUUCUUCAUACAUCAGAAUGUUCCUUUCCCAGAUUUUGUCUUGGAACCGGUGCAGGAGGAUUUAGUGGGAUUCUGCAUCUUCAUGCCCAUGCUUUGAGAGAUUGUGUUGUCCUUGUUCAGUACCAACUCUCAGACGUGUCUAUCUCUUGUUGAAGAUGACAGAUUUGCUUUGCUUUUGCUUUUUGCUUUUCACCUACUAUACUGUUCAUAAAGUAAGCAUGAGCUGAGCUUGAACAUUCUGAUCAUCAGAAUGUUCCAUCUGUUUCACUUAGGAUGAUUUGUAAGACUAUCAUUUGAUGUAAUCAAAUCCUAAUAGUGAAACAGUAAUGAAGAGCAGUGAUAAUAACAUCUAGGAUGAUAUUCCUUUGUGAAAUAUUCCUAGUACAUCAAUGUUCAUAGUCUUAAAUGAACAUUGAAUGCCUUCUUUGACAUAACUCUUGUAUAUGCCUUUAUUGCUUGAUUGAUCCAUGCAAAUGUACUUUCCUGGACAUAUAUUCAUGUCACAUGUGCCUUGCAUGAUCUUGAUCACAGUUCUUGAGAUUCUUGGCUUGUAUAAGAACAACCUUCUGAACUGGAUUGCUUCUGAACAACCUUCUGAACUAGGUUGCUUCUGAACUGGUUGCUUCUGAACUUGGUUGCUUCUGAACAUUCUGAUCUUCGAGCAACAUUCUGAUCUAACUUUCUGACCUCAGUGUUAGAUCAUGAAUUCAAAUGUCCUUUGAUUUCUUGAUUCUUGGUAUGAUUCAAACCUUGUUCCUGUCUUAGUAAAACACUCAAGAGCACAAGUUAAAUACCAAGAAAUUAAUCAAAGUCCAUUAAUUCUUUAUUCAUAUUUGUUUAUUAUCUUUAAAAUUAAUUAGGGAUUUUACCUCAACAGUGAGGUGCAGAAGGUGCGGUUCGGCACGCACAUGGUAGUUGAGGAAGCUGAUGACUGGUGGGUUAGUCUUCUAUCUGUCCUAGAGCAAGAUGGUGUUGUUAUUACUUGGGCUGUAUUUAGGAGAGAAUUUUUGAGCAGAUACUUUCUGGACGAUGUGCGAGGUAAGAAAGAAAUAGAAUUUCUAGAGCUGAAGCAAGGAGAUAUGUCAGUAACGGAGUAUGCUGCAAGGUUUGUGGAGCUUGCUAAGUUUUAUCCACAUUACACCGCGGAGACAGCUGAGUUCUCCAAGUGUAUCAAAUUCGAGAAUGGCUUGAGAGCUAACAUCAAGAAAGCCAUUGGUUAUCAGAAGAUUAUAAACUUUUUUGAGUUGGUGAGUAGCUGAAGAAUUUAUGAGGAUGAUACCAAAGCCCAUUAUAAGGCUAGGGGUGAGCGGAUGAAUAAUGAUACGAAUCGUUCUAAGCCGUACAGUACCCCGGGUGAACUUAGGUUGAAUGACGAAAGGAGGCCCAAGAGGGAAGAGACUCUUGUUGAAAUAGUUUGUUACAGAUGUGGUGAGAGAGGUCACAAGAGUAACACUUGUGCUGGUAAAGUGAAACGGUGUUUCCGUUGCGGUGAAAAGGGUCAUACUGAGGUAGAUUGCAAUCAUGAUGAUGUAGUUUGCUAUAACUGCAAGGAAGAAGGUCAUAUUAGUUCGCAGUGCAAGAAGCCUAAGAAGGCCCAGACUGGUGUGAAGGUUUUUGCUUUGACUGGUACGCAGACGAUGCACGAAGGAUCGCUUGAUUAGAGGUAUAUUUUCAAGGACGAAAAUUCUUAAGUUGGGGAGAGUUGUAACGCCCCAAUUUUAUUUAAUUAUUAUUGGUCGAUUUAACGUCUUUUUAUAUAUGAUUUUAUAUUAUUAUGUGGUGUGUUAUAUUUUAUUAAAUGAGUUAUGUUACUAUUUAAUAGAAUAAGUGGGAAUUUAGAAUAUUUGGAGUUCAAGGGGCUGAUUUAGAAAUAAAGAGAAUUGAGGGGGAUUAAGUGGGAAUAGAAAAAGUUGGAUUAGGUUUAGAAAGGAAACUGGAAAGGGAGAAUUAGUCAGAAAAACAUUUUCACGUGGAAGCAGCUUUUGGGAGAAAAACCAAGAGGGAGCCAAGAGUAUCCAAGAGAAGAUCGUGUAGAGCUUUGUUCACCAAUCUAAGGUAAGGGUGGGACUAUCAUUCAGUGAUCUUAAGUCUAUAAUUCUGAAAUUGGAUUUAACAUGUAAGUUGUUCUUGAUUUGAGAAUUUGAGAAUUAGGGUUAAAAGUGAUAAUUUGGUGAUUAGAUGGUGAAAACGUGUUGAAUUAAUGUAGAAACUGUGUACAGACCUUAGAUAAUGCAUAGGAUGAUGAUUUGAAUCAGUUUUAAGGAUAGAACCAUGGGAUUGGGUGAUUUCUAUGAAAAUAUGCGUUUCUACCCGAGCUGAGAUUCAUCGCUCGCCCUCGCGAGCAGCAAGCCUCACCUCGCGAGGGAUGAUCUUCAUCGCUCGCUUCGCGAGCCGUUUUCUCUCGCCUCGCGAGUGAACCCAGAUGUUGCUCGCCACCGCGAGCAAGACACUCGCCAUAGCGAGUUGACCAGUGAGGUCGUCAUGAUUUUGUGAAUUAACGCUGUUGGUCAAGUCUUAGAUGGUUUUGAGUGCCGGAAUGUGUAUAAGAAUGAUUAGGCAGUUUUUAGAAUGAAAUUCAUUUGGAGAAGUUAAAAAUGAGAUUUUUUGUGUGAAAAAGGUGAAGUUCCAGAGAGCACCCUGAUUUUAUUCGCCAAGGCGAGUAGCUGGUUCGCCAAAGCGAAUAGCCAACUUUUGUGAACUCGCCAUAGCGAGUAGAGGCGCUCGCCUCACGAGCCUUUGAGUGUCAGACAGUCUUGUUAGGGUUUUUGCGAUCUUUUUCGCACAAGAUGCUAUGAGAUGAUCCUUGGGUUAAGAUAAAGAUUUAUUAAAAUAUUUUUAAUGUUCGGUGAGUCUGAUAUAAGAUGGUUGAGGGUGUUAAUAUUAUGGUAAAUUUGCCAAUGCAUUAUGUGGAUUAUGUAUGAUGUUUAAGUAGUGUUGAUUAUCAUUUGGUAUUGUCAUCUUUUGGGAUGUCUAUGUGCUACUAGUGUUGCUGUUGGAUCUUAAUUAAGAUGUAAAUGUUGGUCUAAAUUGUAAGCGUUGUUGGGUUGUACGUUGCCGAAUAAGUCAUAAGUAAGUUAUGCAAAUUGUCGAUGUUGUCAUCAUCGUUGGUGUUGUUGUUGAAGUCGUAGUUUAUCCGUUGUUGGUGAUUGUUUAUGUUAGAUGUUUUUAUAAGAGGUGGUGUACUCUUACUUUGUCGUCUUUAUAAGAGGUGGUGUACUCUUACUUGUCGUUUUUAUAAGAGGAGGUGUACUCUUACUUUAUCGUUUUUAUAAGAGGUGGUGUACUCUUACUUUGUUGUUGUUUAUAAGAGGUGGUGUACUCUUACAUUGUUUAUGUUGAUGAGUAUGACUAGGUUAUGAUGAUCUUUUAUAGGAUGUGAGGUUGUUAUGAUAUUACAUGAUGUUACCUAUGAGUUGUUAAAUGUACUUGAUGAGGGUUAUGUUAAGUUGAUAAGUUGUCUUCUAUUCAUGAGCACUAAGGGGAUGUUUGUAACACCCCGUUUUCCCAACAUAAAAAUUUCGCAUAAAUAAUCAGAGUUUUUCAACAUAAACGGAAUGUCACAUUCUUUCCUUAAAAUCCUAAACUGAAUAAAUAACUAUUUAUCAUUUAAAAAUUCAAAUACAAGAUCUUUAAUACUUCGCAGCGGAAUUUAUUCAAUAACUAAAACAGUCUUUGGCACGAAGGCCUCUUCGUAAAUGUCUCAUAAAAAUCCAAUCUAAAAACAUAGUGAUAAUACGUAAGGAAUAGAAAAGCAAUACCAAAAGAUCCCAUCCCGUUACGUAUCAGAGCACCUAAGACACACGAGAAGGAAAGCUCACACGACAUCAAUUAAUCUUGGUUACCUGUUAGUUACCCAUGGUGGGCAAAUAGAAGGGGUGAGAUUUCACAAACAAUAAUAUUAAGCAUAUAAUUCAUCAAUUACAUUUAACAACAUAAGCAUCAUCAAUCAUAUUUAACAACUCAUAGACAACAUCAUGUAAUCAUCAUAAUAUUCAUCAUAGAUAAUAAUAUAUCAUAAUUCACUUCUUUAAUAAUUCAUAUCACAGCUUUAAACAAUUUCAUGAUUUAACAACUUAACAACUCGACAACUUGAUAACUUGACAACUUGACAACUUAACCUCUUGACUAUGCAACUUAAUCUUCUAAUCAUGCAUGUGGUACCAAUCUUUGAGCGUAAAUAGGCUCCCAGGGCAUCAAGCCCUCAACUUUAUUUGAGCGUAAAAAGGCUCCCAGGGCAUCAAGCCCUCAACUUAAUUGAGCAAAGGCUCCAGGGCAUCAAGCCCCAACAAUGAAAUGCUAAUGCAUGGACUCGACCUCUUAACAUGUUAAAUCGACAACCUCUUAUAUAAUCCAAUAAUUUGGAACUUCAUCAUCUUAAUCAACUUAGACCGACUCAUGCAGCUUAGUUAAAUAACAACAGCAACACAACAGUAUACAAAAACAGCAUGACAUAAUAAUAUCAAAUGCAAGUCAACAACGUCUCAAUUAUUCACAUAUAAUUCAAGUAAUGCAUAUACAAUUAUAUCACAGUAUAACAACAUCAAAUAAUAAUCAACAUCUUAAAACAUCAUAUAUACAUAUAACACUUCAUCAAUCAUGGACAAUAUCGUAUUCACAACAUAUACAUUCAUAUACUAAUUCAUCAAUCAUAUUCAAUUAUUCAAUGUUACCUACGUGCAGUAAUUUGACUAUAACUCAAGUUCUAUAAAUUCUUUUGAAGUCAAACCAACGACAUUAGAAAGCUAACAUUUAUACCUACAACUUUCAUGUUUACACCUAAGACCAAUUCUGUACCAAUCAAUAUCAGUUUUCAUUUCAAAUUCGGACAAAGUUGUGCUGAAAUUCAUACAAAUUCACUAAGACCUCCUUGGGGUAUUUUCAUCAUAACUCCUAAACCAAAACUUAUUUUUACGUCAAACCAAAGCCAUUGGAAAGCUAACCAAAUUAUCUACAACUUUCAUUUUUACACAAAAACCCAGUUCAAAACAGAAAUGUGUGAAAAAGAAGCAAGAACAUGGAACAGAAGAUGCUGUCACUGUGCAGCUCUCGGGAAAAACCAAUUUUUCACCCAAAAAUUCCAAUUUUGACUUCCCAAUGCCCAAAUUUGAUUCCAAAAUUUGUCUAAACAUUUAUAUAGAUCAAAAGAGACUCAAAAUCAUAUAAAACUUGACCAAAAACAUUAUUUUAGAAAAUCAUCAAUUAACCACUUUUAACCCUAAUUCUCAAAUUCUCAAAAACGAAAACCUACAACAUGUUAAAUCCAAUUUUCAGAAUCAAUGACUUAAGAUUAUUGAAUGUUAGUCUCACCCUUACCUUAUAGAUGAAAAUCGCAGCACUCCUAGGUCUUCCCCCUCCUCUCGGCUUUUUCUCCCUUUUCUCUAAAAUUGAUCGUACGUUAUGUUUUUUCUAAACUAGGUUUCUCCUAUUUAUAACCCUUUUUUCUAUUUUAUCUUAUUUCUCUUUCUCCCCCAAAACUCUCUAAAAUCUCAUAACAAACUCUCAACUCAAUCUUAUUUCUAUUUUCAAAUCUUAAUCUAUUAAAUAAAAACAUAAGCCACUUAAUAAAUCACAUAAUCAAAUAAAUAUAUUUUAAACUCUUCUUAAUAAAUUUUAGACUCAAUUAAAUAAUUAAAUAAAUCUAAUAAUUCAAAGAGGGCGUUACAAUGUUAAGAAGAAUUAUUAUUGAGUGUAUAUGAUGAUGUCUAUGUUGUUAACUGUAAUUGAUGAAUUAUAUGCUUAUUAUUAUUGUUUGAGAAAUCUCACCCCUUCUGCUUGGAAAUGUUGCCCUUCGUAUGGGUAACUUGCAGGUAAUUGAAGAUUAGUAGGAAUGGGGGCUCAAGUGUCUAGGGAUCUGAUACGUACGGGAUGGGAUUUCUUAUUGUUUUUCAUUCCUUAUGUAUCACAUUUUUGGAUUAUGCUGAUGUAGCCCUUAUUUGGUUGUUGAAUUAAUUGAUGGGGCUUUUAUGUCAAGACUUUUAUUGAAGAAUUAAUAUGUUGGAUGUUGUGGUUAUUUAAUGUUGAGAAAAUAUUUCCGCUGCAAAAUUGUUGUCGUUUUAUGAAGGAUGUUUUAUUAAAUAGUUUUAUAUUCUAUUUAAGAAAAUUAUGAAAGUAAUGUGACAUUCCCGUUUGAGAUUUACUCUGAUGAUUAUUUAAUAUUUAAUUGCUUUUGGGUAACGGGGUGUUACAAUUGGUAUCAGAGCAGGUUGGUCCGUCCAGCCAAGUAGUAGAGUCGUGUUGAGAGUGUCAACUCUAAACUGUCUUUUGUUAUUCUGAUUGUUGUUUGUGGUGUAGUGUUUUGAGAUGGCUGGGAGAAAUGAUGCUGCUAUUGCUGCUGCACUUGAGGCUGUAGCUCGAGCUGUAGAAUAACAUCCACAAGUUGGUGCUGGUAACGAUGGAGUAAGAAUGUUGGAGACUUUCUUGAGGAAUCAUCCACCAACAUUCAAGGGAAGGUACGACCCUGAUGGAGCUCAGAAGUGGCUCAAAGAAACUGAGAGGAUCUUCAGAGUGAUGCAGUGUAGUGAGGUGCAGAAGGUGCGGUUCGGCACGCACAUGGUAGCUGAGGAAGCUGAUGACUGGUGGGUUAGUCUUCUACCUGUCCUAGAGCAAGAUGGUGCUGUUAUUACUUGGGCUGUAUUUAGGAGAGAAUUUUUGAGCAGAUACUUUCUGGACGAUGUCCGAGGUAAGAAAGAAAUAGAAUUUCUGGAGCUGAAGCAAGGAGAUAUGUCAGUAACGGAGUAUUCUGCAAGGUUUGUGGAGCUUGCUAAGUUUUAUCCACAUUACACCGCGGAGACAGCUGAGUUCUCCAAGUGUAUCAAAUUCGAGAAUGGCUUGAGAGCUAACAUCAAGAGAGCCAUUGGUUAUCAGAAGAUUAUAAACUUUUCUAAGUUGGUGAGUAGCUGUAGGAUUUAUGAAGAUGAUACCAAAGCUCAUUAUAAGGCUAGGGGUGAGCGGAGGAAUAAGGAUAAGAAUCGUUCUAAGCCGUACAGUACCCCAGGUGAACUUAGGUUGAAUGACGAGAGGAGGCCCAAGAGGGAAGAGACUCUUGUUCAAAUAGUUUGUUACAGAUGUGGUGAGAAAGGUCACAAGAGUAACACUUGUGCUGGUAAAGUGAAACGGUGUUUCCGUUGCGGUGAAAAGGGUCAUACUGAGGUAGAUUGCAAUCAUGAUGAUAUAGUUUGCUAUAACUGCAAGCAAGAAGGUCAUAUUAGUUCGCAGUGCAAGAAGCCUAAGUAGGCCAGACUAGUGGGAAGGUUUUUGCUUUGAUUGGUACGCAGACGAUGCACGAAGGAUCGCUUGAUUAGAGGUAUAUUUUCGAGGACGAAAAUUCUUAAGUUGGGGAGAGUUGUAACGCCCCAAUUUUAUUUAAUUAUUAUUGGUCGUUUUAAAGUCUUUUUAUAUAUGAUUUUAUAUUAUUAUGUGGUGUGUUAUAUUUUAUUAAAUGAGUUAUGUUACUAUUUAAUAUAAUAAGUGGGAAUUUAGAAUAUUUGGAGUUCAAUGGGCUGAUUUAGAAAUAAGGAGAAUUGAGGGGGAUUAAGUGGGGAUAGAAAAGUUGGAUUAGGUUUAGAAAGGAAACUGGAAAGGGAGAAUUAGUCAGAAACACAUUUUCACGUGAAAGCAGCUUUUGGGAGAAAAACCAAGAGGGAGCCAAGAGUAUCCAAGAGAAGAUCGUGUAGAGCUUUGUUCAUCAAUCUAAGGUAAGGGUGGGACUAUCAUUCAGUGAUCUUCAGUCUAUAAUUCUGAAAUUGGAUUUAACAUGUAAGUUGUUCUUGAUUUGAGAAUUUGAGAAUUAAGAUAAAGAUUUAUUAAAAUAUUGUUGAUGUUCAGUGAGUCUGAUAUAAGAUGGUUGAGGGUGUUAAUAUUAUGGUAAAUUUGCCAAUGCAUUAUGUGGAUUAUGUAUGAUGUUUAAGUAGUGUUGAUUAUCAUUUGGUAUUGUCAUCUUUUGGGAUAUCUAUGUGCUACUAGUGUUGCUGUUGGAUCUUAAUUAAGAUGUAAAUGUUGGUCUAAAUUGUAAGCGUUGUUGGGUUGUACGUUGCCGAAUAAGUCAUAAGUAAGUUAUGCAAAUUGUCGAUGUUGUCAUCAUCAUUGGUGUUGUUGUUGAAGUCGUAGUUGUAUCCGUUGUUGGUGAUUGUUUAUGUUAGAUGUUUUUAUAAGAGGUGGUGUACUCUUACUUUGUCGUCUUUAUAAGAGGUGGUGUACUCUUACUUGUCGUUUUUAUAAGAGGUGGUGUACUCUUUGUAACAGCCCGAUUUUUUGCUAGAUUUAUUUUAAUUACUUUUAUUAUGUGUUUGUGUGUGAUUAAUUUUGUUUGUGUGUAUUUAAUUGUCAUUGGGUGCAUUUACAUGGAUUAUCGUAUUAGAAGAGUAUUUUAUUUUGGUCAUUUGACAAGUAAGGGUAAAAUGGUAAUUUUGGUGAGAAUUAUUUUAAUAUUUAGUGAGAACCCUUAUUUUACUAAGUUACUAGUACAGUGAUUAGUUUUUACCGUUUAGUGACCGUUGGUUAUGUUUUACCAUUGUUAGUAAUUACCGUUGAGUGUAUAGAAACUUUUUAGAAUUAUGUUAGAAUGGGUUAGGCCCAUUAGAAUUUAGAAUUGAGCCCAUUAAGGGAGAUAACAUUAGGGUUGUCAUAGAAAAUAUCUUUCAUUCACUUCACAAAAUAUUUUCCUAGAGAGAGAGGUAGAGAGAGAAAGAGGUGAAGAGAAGAACAAAGGUUUUGAAGAGAAUAGCUUGAGGAAUCAAUUGGGGUAAGCUUAGGAGCUGAAUUGAAGCAAGAGUUUGAGUUAAUCUUCUUCAAAGGUAAGGGGGUUAGUUAUUAUCAUAAUCAUGUACAAUUUUUGCAUUUUCUCAUGUUGUAUGAAAAUGGGUUGAUGAACAAUUGUUGCUAAAUUCGUGCUCUUGCUGUGAUGCUAUUUUCUUGUGCAUGAAUUGAUGAUUAUGGUAUGUUUGUGGGUGAAAUUACAUGUUUCAAAGUAUGUAUAAAUGUUAAGUUAUGAAAUUAUGCUUAAUUGAUGAAAUUUGAUAUGUUUUGAUUGAAAUGAGAUGUGAUUCAUAUUCCAUUGAUGUGGUUAUUGUUAACUGAUGUUAUUGUGAGUGAAUCAUGAUUUGGGUAUACUUAAUUGUGGACUGAUGAUGAGAAAUAAAUUGUUGUUGGUGGUUUUGUGAAAUUGGUGAAGUUGAGUUAAGUGUUCAUGUGAAGGACCAAAGUGAACUUUGAUAUAUAUAUAUAUGGUUGUUGACUGAAAAUUUGUUAUUGUUGGAUGAAUUGAACCUAUGAGAAUUUCUGUUUUCAUGUUGUGGUUAUGUUAGUUGAGUCGUUUGGGAGAAAACGGGUUUUUCGUGUGAAAUGUCGAUGUUUAAGCGUUUUCGUCAAUAAGUGAUUAUGUGAGGUUUUGGAAAAUGACUUUUGGGAUGGUUGAAACAUGAAAUUUUUGUAGAUUAUGUUAGAGUCAAGUGUCAAGAGCGUGUAGGCGAAAACGGCAUCAAAAUCCGAUUAACAGUUUAAAUUUUACGCGCGAAAUGGUGAAAAACGCACUUUUUGAAGAACUGAUUUCUGGACCUGAUGCUGGCAAAACGUGUCACGAUUUGGCAAGCGUGUCACGAUUUUGUUGGCCGAAAAUUCAGUGUUUCUGGACGUAAAAUCGUGACACGAUUUCUGCAAACCAGAUCCUGCAUAUUUCACUAUUUUUCACCCCUUUCUGCUUUGAAUUGGAUUUUGGUGUAAACAUGAAAGUUAUAGAUAAUUUUGUUAGCUUUCUAAUGGCGUUGGUUUGAGGUCCAAAUGAUUUUUAGAACUUGAGUUAUGAUCAAAUUACUACACAUGGGUCAUGUGGAUUUUUGUGAAAACUUAUCGUAACUUUUUCUAUGAGCCGUGGAACUUUUCCAAACUUGAUAUUGGGUUUAACGAAGUACUUAGAGGGGAUAAUUGAGUAUGCAUUUAUGUAUUUUGGGAAUGUGAAUGUGUUGAUGGUUCAAGAAAUAUUUUGGGCGGAGUUGAAUCGGUGAAAACGGGUUUUGAGCUAAAAUGUCGUUUUGUCUUGGAUUUUCUCAUACGAACUUAAGCUAUCCUUUGAACUAAUUUCUAAUAGUUUGUAAGUGGCUCAAGUCCUUGACUACAUGAUUGAUUAAGAUUGAAUUGUAGGAUUUCAAACUUAAAUAAGUUGCCUAGCUUUAAAAAUUAUCAAUGUUGGUCGUUUGCCACAUGAUUUGGAUUUUUGUCGGAAAUGUUUCUUUAGCAAAUUGUCUUGUGAGUUAUUGAGAUUAUUCUUGUAUGACUAAGUGAAGUUGUAUGAAUGAAUGAUUGUAUUGAAUAUGAUGUUUAACAUGAGAUGUGUAUGCUAUCUUACUUGGAAUAUGAGAAUGCUUGAAUAGGUGAACUAUAUGUGAUAGUUGAUGUUGAAUAACAUUGUUGAUGAUCAUGUUGAUGUGAUGAUGAUGAAUUCUAUGAUUUAAUUGUGUAUGGGAAUGUUUUCUUGAUAAUGCAAUGUUGUGAAGAUAAUCAAUAUAAUUGGGUGUUGUCCUAUAUAUUGAGGUUGAAAUUGUGGAUUGUUGUCGCAUUAUCGAGUCCUUAUACAUGUCCAUGCAUCAUAGUCGUGUUGAGAUACGAUGUUUUAUUCGUCAUAGGGCUUCGGCCUGACAGAGAUCUUUUGAGAUCUAGUUUUGGACUUCGGUCUAGCAGAGAUCUUUUGAGAUCUGGAUACGAUGUUUUAUUCGUUAUAGGGCUUCGGCCUGGCAGAGAUCUUUUGAGAUCUGGAUUUGGGUGACGACCUUUUGGAGAUUUGGUACCACAUGCAUUUAUGUGUCAAUAAGUGCAUAUCAUGACAUGAGUCUUAUUUGAUAUAUGUGAUUGGUGAUUGUUCAUGAAAUGUGAUUAAUGACUAUUCAUGAAUAUUUGUGAUUGGUGAUUGUGAAUUGAUAUUUGUUCCUGAUACAUGUAAUUGGUGAUUGUUCAUGAAAUAUGAUUAAUGAUUGUUCAUGAUGUAUAUAAUUGAUGAUUGUGUAUGAAUAACUAUGAAAUGAUAUUUGUUCAUGACACAUGUGAUUGGUGAUUAUUGAUGUGAGAUAUUGGGGUUUGAUGUAAGUAUUGAUGUGGGAAUAUUAUUAUUGAUCAAGUGCAUGAUGUUUAAAUUGAAAUAUUUAUGUUAACUGUUAUUUGGAUUAUGAUAAUGUAAUAUUACCCCCAGUGGAUCUGUUAUGGACCGCCUGCCUAUCUGUAUGGAUGGGUAGAUGUUGCGCAGGUUUAGUUGCUUGGUGAGUUCUUGUGCUUGGUGGAUAUCAGGAGCUUUCUCCGAUAUCGGUAUUUAGAAUUAGUCGGCUCUGAUCUAGGCUUCGUUGUGUCGGUCUAGAUUAGGUUAUCUUUGGAUUUUGUUAUGUUUGGAGAUUACCCGUUUGUUGGGAUUUUUGAGAUGCAUCUAUGUUGAGGUAAUUUAUUUAUUCAUAACAUGUAUAUUUGAAUUUACUCUGGUUUAUAUUCCGCUGCGACUAUUGAGGUUUAUAUACACGUUUAUUGGUUUUUGAAUUUUGAAUGUGGCGUAGCCUCUAUUUCUUGAAUAAAUGUAUUAUUCGCAUGUUUAAUUGCUUUAAUAGAAAUAGGAGCGUUACACUCUUACUUUAUCGUUUUUAUAAGAGGUGGUGUACUCUUACUUGUCGUUUUUAUAAGAGGAGGUGUACUCUUACUUUAUCGUUUUUAUAAGAGGUGGUGUACUCUUACUUUGUUGUUAUCUAUAAGAGGUGGUGUACUCUUACGUUGUUUAUGUUGAUGAGUAUGACGAGGUUAUGAUGAUCUUUUAUAGGGUUGAAUGUGAGGUUGUUAUGAUAUUACAUGAUGUUACCUAUGAGUUGUUAAAUGUACUUGAUGAGGGUUAUGUUAAGUUGAUAAGUUGUGUUCUAUUCAUGAGCACUAAGGGGAUGUUAAGAAGAAUUAUUAUUAAGUGUAUAUGAUGAUGUCUAUGUUGUUAACUAUAAUUGAUGAAUUAUAUGCUUAUUAUUAUUGUUUGAGAAAUCUCACCCUUCUGCUUGGAAAUGUUGCCCUUCGUAUGGGUAACUUGCAGGUAAUUGAAGAUUAGUAGGAGUGGUGGCUCAAGUGUCUAGGGCUCUGAUACGUGUAACGCCCACUUUUAUUUAAUUAAUUAUUUAAUCAAGUUUAGACGAGUUAUAUUAUAUUUAUAUAAUAUAUGUGUGAAUUUUGAUGAUUUAUGACGAUUUAGAUGAUUUGGAUGAUUUUUAGAUGAGCUAUGAGUUUUGAUGAUUUUAUGAGAUAUGAGACUUAUUUUAUUGUUUAAUAAAAUAAGAUUUGAAAAUAAAAUAAAAUAUUUAGUUAAGGGCUGUUUUGAGAUUUUAGAGAAUUUUGGGGGAGAAAGUGAGAUAAGAUAAGAUUUUAGGAGGAGAUAUAAAGAGGAAAACCUAGUCUUAGGAAAAUUAGUACGUACAACUGUUUUUGGAAGAAGGAGGAAAAAGUCAAGAGAAUGGAGAAUCACCAUAGAGGCUGCGAUUUCUUCACUUUAAGGUAAGGGUGAGACUAACUCUACAAUUUUAUUAAUCAUGUAAUCCAUCUGGUUGUAAUUAGCAAGAAUUAGGAUUGCAUUGGAGAAAUCGAAAAUUAGGUCAAAUCCCUAGAAUUGAUGAUUAAACAGUGAAAAUUGAUUAGAUUGAUGUAGAAACUGUCCUUUGACCUUAGAUUAUGUUUAGAAUGAAUUCUGGAAUUGAAAUUAGGCUUAGAACCAUGAGAUUAGAUGAAUUUUCGUAGAAAACUACAUUCUGCCCGAGCCUAUAUUCAUCGCUCGCCCUGGCGAACGAUGAUCCUCGCCUCGCGAGUGAUGAAGUUCAUCGCUCGCCACGCGUGCCAUUACCCCUCGCCUCGCGAGUUACAAGUCGUAGCUCGCCACAACGAGCAACCUUACUCGCCAUAGUGAGCAUGACCAGAGAGCAUGUUGAAUUCUGUAUUUUUGACUUUUUAGUUGAACCUUAGAUGCUUUUGAGUGCCUUAAGAUGUUUAAUAAAGAUUAGAUGAUGAUUUAGAACGAGAUUGAACCUGGUUUAGCUUAGAACAACUUGAGUUGGAAAUCUGGCUUGUACUCGCCAUGGCGAGCAGAUGCUCUCGCCUCGCGAGCACUUCCAGAACUGAGUGCAAUUGAGAAUGUUGUGACCUGAGUUGCUUGAAUUGAUUAGGAAUGGAACUUUAGGUAGUAGUAAGACAUAUUUAAGAUGUUAACUGAAAUCUGUGAGGUUGUUUGAACUGCUAAGUUGUUUGUAAUGUGAUUUAAUGAUUAAAUGCAUUACUUGAAAUAUUCUUGAAUGAUCUAGAUGUUGAAAUGAAUUGUUGUUAUGAAGUUAUAAAGUUGUUGUGAUCUGAUUAUGCUGCUUUUGUUAUUUAACCAAGUUGCAUGAGUCUAUACAAGAUGAUGUUGAACUCCAAAUUAUUGGAUGUAUAUGAGAUGAUGAUUAAGAUGUUUUAGAUGAUUGAGUCCAUGCAUUAGCAUACAUUUGUUAGGGGCUCAUGCCCUGGAGCUUUGUACUCACCAUGAUGGAGCAUUUGCUCAAAAUAAACUGUUGGGGGCUUAUGCCCUGAAAGUAUAUUAAUACUAUAAUGCUGGGGGCUCAUGCCCUGAAUUGGUACCACAUGCAUAUAAGAGGUUUAGGUUGCAUUGUCGCAUUGUUGAGUCAAAAGAUGUUAAGUUAUUGAUGAUGAUUGAAUGAAAUGACUACUUGAUAUUUUAUUAUCAAUGAUGAUAUGAUGUUUAAGAUGUUUAUGUUGUUAAUUAUGAUUGUUGAAUUAUAUUGAUUAAUAUUAUUGUUUUGUGAAAUCUCACCCCUUCUGCUUGGAAAUGUUGCUCUUCGUAUGAGUAACUUGCAGGUGAUCGAGCUUAGUGUACAGUUUGCUGUUGUGAGUGGCCUUGCCUCACUGAGUCGUCUAGGUCGCUCUGAUAUGUAACGGGAUGGGGUUUAUGUUAUGCAUGCUUCAUUCUUUUACGUGUUCAUUUAUUGAAGAUUAAUUGAAAUUUUAUGAGAUGUUUUAAUGAGGCCUGCGUGCCAAGACUUUAUGAUGAUUUGAAUUUAAUUCCGCUGCUCUUUGGUUGAAGAAGGAUAAAUUAUUAUUUAUCUAUGUUUCUGAGAUUUUUAAGAAUGUGAUAUCCCGUUAAUUGAUGAUUACUCUGAUUCUAUGUUUGAAAUUUUUAUAUUAGGAAAACGGGGUGUUACAAUACGUACGGGAUGGAAUUUCUUAUUGUUUUUCAUUUCUUAUGUAUCACAUUUUUGGAUUAUGCUGAUGUAGCCCUUAUUUGGUUGUUGAAUUAAUUGAUGGGGCUUUUAUGUCAAGACUUUUAUUGAAGAAUUAAUAUGUUGGAUUUUGUGGUUAUUUAAUGUUGAGAAAAUAUUUCCGCUGCAAAAUUGUUGUCGUUUUAUGAAGGAUGUUUUAUUAAAUAGUUUUAUAUUCUAUUUAAGAAAAUUUUGAAAGUAGUGUGACAUGCCCGUUUGGGAUUUACUCUGAUGAUUAUUUAAUAUUUCAUUGCUUUUGGGUAAUGGGGUGUUACAUUUUUCAUCCUGGAAAAUGAAAAGUCACACUUUGACCAAAACCAUAAGUAGCUUGGUUUGUAAGCUAAGUCUUGCUAAAUUUAAUUUGAUUAGUAUGAUAGUCAAAGUAUGAUGAUUACAGAUCAAAUGAACAAGUAAAUUGACUAAAAUAAUGUUUAUAUCGAGUUUUCAUCCUGGAAGAUGAAAAGUUACACUUUGACGAAAACCAUUGGUAGCUUGGUUUGUAAGCUAAGUCUUACUAAAUUUAAGGCUUAAUUGAACUGUCGGUCCCUUAACUUAUUUCUUUAUUUCAGUUUGGUCUCAUAACUCUUAACUUUUGCAAACUGGUCCCUCAACUCACUUACGUUAAUCAAUAUGGUCCCCUCAAAAAGGAGAUCGUUGGAUAAGUGAGGUCUACCAGAUUUUAUAGUGUAUCACCAACACCUGAUUUAUUUACUUUCUUCUUCUUCUUCUUCUUCCCUCAUCUUUAUCUUCAUUCAACCUUCAUCAAUCUUCAUCAUUCAUCAAUCUUCAUUAAAUAAAAAUAAAACUCAAUUUCUUUUUCUUUCAAAAAUAAAAGGCAGAUAUCAAUCCAAUUCAAUAAAAAAAAAAUAUUAUUUGGGUCAUUAACAACUCCAUUACCAUGAACACCAUUCACGGUCAAAAAAUGAACACCAUUUCCAGGAGAAAGAAUAUUCCUUGAAACUGAUUUUGAACAAGUUAGGAGAGAUUGAUGUUGGCGGUGAACGCCAUAUAAGCGAUCCGGUGAAGAGGGUGGAAUGGGUCGGAAAGUUGUGCUCUGAUUUGCAUAGUUUGGUGGCUUCUUUAGAACAAGAAACAAGGAAAUCUAAAAGAGCAUCAGAGCUCUUGUUGGCACAGUUGAAUGAGGUUCAAGAAAGGAAUGAUAGUUUUCAGGAGGAGCUUCCUAAGGUGACUGAUGAACUUGUGGAUCUCAGAAGAAAAAGGGAUUGGGCGGAGGCUGCCAAACUGGAAGCUCUUUCACAUCCUGAUUUUUGUUGUUAUUGUUGAUUUUUGUUUUUAUUGGAUGUACUAUAUUUCUGGGUUUUUUGUUGUUUCUGGUUUGUUGAUGACGAAGAUGAUUCAGUUUAUGUAUUAAGAUUGAUAAAAAUGAUAUGGAGAAAAUGAGGAGCACAAAAAUUUGUUUAAUGAUUUAUUUUUGAAAGAAUUUUUUUUUGGAUUUUUAUUUUAUUUUAUGAAGAUGAUGAAGGUUGAAUGAAUAUGAAGAUGAAGAUGAGGGAAGAAGAAGAAGAAGAAGAUGAAAGUAAAUAAAUCAGGUGUUGGUGAUACACUAUAAAAUCUGGUAGACCUCACUUAUCCAACGAUCUCCUUUUUGAGGGGACCAUAUUGAUUAACGUAAGUGAGUUGAGGGACCAGUUUGCAAAAGUUAAGAGUUAUGGGACCAAACUGAAAUAAAGAAAUAAGUUAAGGGACCAGCAGUUCAAUUAAGCCUAGAUUUAAUUUGAUUAGUAUGAUAGUCAAAGUAUGAUGAUUAUAGAUCAAAUGAACAAGUAAAUAGACUAAAAUAAUGUUUAUCACUGCAAGAAUUCCCCAAAGGCUUAAAUGCUCUUUUGGUCCCUUAACUAUUUAAUUGGUAUCGCUUUGGUCCCUUAACUAAAAAAAAGAUUGUUUGAGGAUUUUAAGUUUUUUUUUA
rnacentral:lncRNA from 1 species